rnacentral:lncRNA from 1 species
UUUUUUUUUUAAAAAAUAAGUACAUGCUUUUGUACUGCUGAUGCAUCAAGUGAUGAAGAGUGAAUUGAGAGGAGAAGUACGGCCAUGGUUUUUCCAAGUUGCAGCUAAAAUUUGGGCGUAAAGGGAAAGCGAUUUAUUGAAGGAAAUUUUGAAUUAUUGUUUGCGUAAAUUGCGCCGGAUCGAAGUCCUUGAACUUCUAGCCAAAUUUCGUUUUGGUCGUCUCAUUUAAGCUCAAUGUUCAAUAUCUCCAACUCCCGAAAGUGUUUCAAUUUGGUUCUUGUACUUGUUUAAUGUUAGAGAAUAGAAAAUAAUUAUCUACACUUGGUACAUCGAUCUCUACAUUAAUUCAUUUGCCAUACGCUAGGUAUCCUUGAUCUAGUUUGAUAUAUAUUCUAAUUUUAGCACCACUGAAUUGCAAUUUUUUUCUAUAUUUAAAAAUUAGACUGUUUACUGAAAGUAUGAGAUGGAUAAACGCUGAUGGAUUUGUGGUGCACGCACAAAUUUAAUUAGGAAUUAAUAUUGAUCCAGGUGUACUCAGUACUUUCCUAAAUUAAGAAGUAUAAGAAAAUAAUCUCUCUCUCUAUAUGCAGCAAGACCACAUGCUAGCUAUUAGGUUUGCACGGACAAAAUCCGUAUUCAUUUAUUUCAAAUAAAGUAGCUAUAUAUAUAUAUAUAUAUAUAUAUAUAUACACAGAGAGAGAGAGAGAGAGAGAGAGAGAGAUUAGGGUUACAAUCUUAUGAUAAUAGAGCCCUUCGUACUUACAAAUAAUUUUUGAUGAUGGAACUUCCGACUUGCCAAUUCAUACCAUUAAAUAUAAUGUAGAGUAUUUAAAAUUUCUAGAAAUCAAAUUUCAUUAUUUUUCAAUAUCAUUACCUUACGAUCAAAAGAUCACAAAAUUGAUAAUUUUUAACAGUUGGUAUGAAAGACUUGCUAGUUUAAUAGGGUAAAAAAAUCGGAAUAUGUUGAAUUUUUAAUAGAAAAUUUUAUUCACUAUACAGAAAAAGAUCAAUAACUUCGAUCUUAAAUUGAAGAGUCCGAUCAUCCAUCUCUAGGACGUCAUUCAAUUUUGACCGUGUAUUUUAUCGCUUGAUAGAUUUUACCAUGAUUUUGAAAAAUUGCAAAAUUUAUUUUUUAGAAGUUUCAAAUAGUCUAGAUCACUUUUAACUGAGUGAAUUGUCGAUUCGAAAACUCUAUCAUCGAAAAUAGCUUAUGAGUACGAAGAACUCUAUACUAAUAAGCAUAUAGUAGCCCUAGCUACUAUAUAUAUAUAUAGUGUACAUGCAAAUGCAAGUAACAAUUACUUAGUAUUUAUCUGAAAUAAACAUAAACUAAAUAUACAAAAAAAAAUAUAUUUAAUAAACUUAUGAAAUAUUGAUGAAUCUAUAAUUUAAGUAUAUGUUUAUAAACUGAAAAUAUUCAAGAUUUAUUCACAUUUAUUUUAAUUUUAAAAUUUAAUUUUGAUCACUAUAAUGAAAAUUGUUUAUUAUUAAUUUCAAUUUGAUAUCUUAAAUUAAAUCUCAUUUAUGAUUUAAACUCUAAUUUAUUUUAUAUAAAGUAGGCAUGGAUAGAAAUGCUUUCUUUAACAGAUUUGAUCAUAACCCGUUUAUUUUUUUACUUAAGAGAUAUUUUUUAUAACAUUGAUAUAGCACUCGUUCGUACGGAUUGGAUUUAUAUAUAGAUGACUAGAUGUUUUAAAUGCUCGUAUCAUCAUAUUUUUGUAAUUUUUUAUCUUCAGCCAGUUGACUUUUGAGCCACUUCGAUCAUGGCAAAUGAUAUCGAAAAGCAUCACAAAUUUUAUUUUCUAGGAUACUUCAACAUACUCUAGUCAGUCUGAGGAGCGAUCGUCGUUCGAAAGUCCGAACACGAAAACAAGUGGAAGCACGGUCGUGUCACUUUGUUUCUCGCAUAUGUUCGAAUUUCGAAAUCGACGUCGGCCCCUCUCAGAUUGAUCCUAGAGUUAUUUGACAGUAUUCUAGAAAAUAAAUUUUGUUGAUUUUCGCAAUAUUCAUUUGCCUGUGAUCGAGGGGCUCCAAAUCACAGUAACUCUUCUAAUGCGCCAAGGGGAGCAGUUGCAUGUUUUAACGGUUGUAGAAAUAUCCAUAAUCACAUAGAUUUGAUAGAAAUUCUUUUAUACCAUAUCACAAGAUCUAACUUUGAUCUAAAUUGAAUGUGUAUCAUAUUUAGUUUGCUAAGAUUUUUAUUUUUCAAGCCUGUUGAUUUGAGCACUUCAAUCACUAGGCAAAGGAUAUCGAAAAUCGCAAAAAUUAUUUUCUGAUACGUUCAAUUACUUCUAGAUCACGUUCUACCGAGCCGGAUCUGUGCAUUCAAAGUGCGAAUCGAACACAAAGUGGAAGCACGCGAGCGCUCCGUACUAUCCAUAACAUACAGACGCACUCUAUUAUAUAUAAUAUAUAUAUAAUAUAUAUAUAUAUAUUAUAUAUUAUUAUAUAUAUAUAUAAGCUGCUACCUAUUAAUAAUGCGUUCGGAUAAUGUGGCCCCUUAGAUUGAGUGGAUGGUUAGUGAUAGUAUAAUCGGAACGGAUAAACAUAAUAAAAAAGGUAAACAUCUAAUGCCGUAGCAAACUGAUAGCCACCAAAUACUUCGUACUCAUCGUAGUUACAGCCUCUCUCUUCUCUCUCUCUCUCUCUCUUCUUUCUCUCUCUCUACUAUAUAUAUUAUAUAUAUAUAUUAUAUAUGUAUAAGAGAUUUAGAUACUAGUAAUAAUAACUGGGCUUAAGCAUUUUGGGCCUUGUGAUAAUUUGUGUCGUAAAUUGAGCUAGAAUACUUUUAGAAGCACCAAUCCUUUGGUGCUUCUAAGUUUCUAACCCUUGGAUCUACUCCUUAAUUACUAAUAGCCCUUGGGUCAAACACUAUUCCACCUACCACCACCUACCACGAUCAUCCCAACCCCACGUCUCUCCAUCCAAUGAUUAAAAACUCGAAAGCACCACACACUUGGUGCUUUCGAGAGUAUUAUAGCUCAACUCAUAUAUAUAUAUACUAUACUAUAUAUGCUAUCAGAAGCAUAUAGGAUCUGGCGUUUUCGACUUUUGGACCCUUAAAUCAACCUCUUUUAUCAUUUUCAUCCAUUCGAUUAUACUAUUCAACUAACCACCCACUCAACCCUUGGGGGCCCACAUCAUCCUAACUGCACAUCUUUUAAUCCAACGGCAGAAAACUUUAGAGCAACAAGUCAUUGGUGCUAUUAAUAGUAUUCCAGCCUAAUAUAUGAGCUAGACUGGUAUACUAUCGGUAGCAUGGAGGUCUUCAUACUAUCAAGUUGUUUUCAAUGAUGCGGCUUCCAAAUCGACGAUCGGCCUCGUUAAACUUGAUCUACACUAUUAAAAAUAUUUGAAAACUAAAUUUCAUAAUUUUUCGACAUCAUUAAUUUAUCAAACGAAUAGUCUAAAAAUAAACGGCUGAAAAUAAAAAUCUCAUAAAAAAUGAUGAAAAAAUAUUUAAAUUUAAGAUUAGAGGUACUGAUCUUUCUUUAAAUAGUGAAAAUAAUUUUCUAUAAAAAUUUCAUCAGAUUUGGAUUAUUUUAUACUGUUGAAUUCACAAACGCAUUACAUCGACUAUUAAAAUUGUCAAUUUUGAGACCUUCGAUCACUAGCCAAAUGAUGUUGAAAAAUUAUGAAAUUUAGUUUUUAAAUACUUUUAAUCGUGUAGAUCAAAUCUAAAGGAGCGAUUGCCGAUUUGGAAGCCGCAUCAUUGAAAACAACUUGGUAGCACGGAGGUCUCCGUGCUACGGAUAGUAUACCAGCCUAGCGCUCUCUCUCUCUCUCUCUCUCUCUCUCUAUAUAUAUAUAUAUAUAUAUAUAUAUAUAUAUAUAUAUAUAUAGAUAGACUGGAAUACUAUCAAUAGUACCAUGCGAUUGAUGCUAUAAGUUUUUUAGCUUUUGGAUUGAGAAAUGUACGAUCAGGAUGAUAUGGGCCCCCCUAAAGUUGAUUGGGUGGUUGGUUAAAUAAUAUAAUCUAAUGGGUAAAAAUAAUCAAAUGGUUAAAUUUAACGGUGGAAACUCGAUAGCACCAGGGCUUGGUGCUAUCGAUAGAAUCUCUGCCAUACUCUCUCUCUCUCUCUCUCUCUAUAUAUAUAUAUAUAUAUAUAUGUAUGUAUGAAUCUAACUAAGUCUAAACAUAAAAUUUGCAAAAGAAAACUAAGUGUUGACACAAAUUAUAAGAUAAAAGUGAUGAUCCAGCUUGAGCAGCACCCGACGUUAGCAACUUGUUGGUCUAAACAACUAGUUAUCGACGCGCAAAUAUCAAAUACUAUUUAAACAAGUUCUUUUCACUAGUUAUAGUGCACAUGCGAGACAUGUCAUAGUUAAUUAAAUUAAAUUUAUAUUUAUAUUUAUAUUUUAAAUUUAAAUUAUUGUUGGUGGUAUAUGUCUAUUUAUUAUUUGAUUUUUUCUCUAACUUUAUUUUAUCUUCAAAUAAGUUUUAUAUAUUUUUCAAUUUAGUUUUACUGUAAAUGUUUUUUAUAUGUAUUUCAUAACAUACAAUAUUUUUUUUAAUUUGAAUCUGAUUUAAAAUUUGAAUUAAUUCAAAAUUUUAAUUUUAAUUUAAAUUUAUGAAUAAAGCUCAAAAUUUUAAAUUUAUUUUGAAUCUAUAAUUUGAAUAUUAGUAGUUAUUGGAGAUGUAGAUCUAUUUGUCAACCAAUCUAUCUUUUAAAUUUAAUUAUUUUUUGUUUGAGAUAAUUUAUUGAUAGUCACAAAACUUAAAAUUUAAAAUUAAUUUUAAAUUUAAAAUUAAAAUAUAGAUUCAUAGUAAAUAUAAUCCUAUUAGCAAAAAUUUGGAUAAGCGUAAAUUUUUUUUUUCUGUUUUAGAGAUAAAGAAGAAUUACACAAAUUUCGAAUUAAAUUAUAAAUUAUCCUCGUGAUAGCAAAAAUUUAGAUAAGCAUAUUUUUUUUUUCUAUUUUAGAGAUAAAUUUGAAUUAAAAUAUAUAUUUAUUGUAGACAUUUUCUGUUUUGUAAAUAUUUGUAUAAGCAUAAUUUUUUUUUUAUUUUAUUUUAAAGAGAUAAAGAGAAAUUAAAAGUUUGUUUUAUUAUAUUAUUUAUUGUGUAAGGAAAGAUUUUUUUUUUUUUCUGCCAAAGAAUAGAUCAGUCCAUUUACCAAUAUUUAAAAUACGUAUUUUUAUAUAAAGUAUAAUUUUUUACUUUUGGAAAUGUAUAUAUCUUACUAGAGUAGUAGAUUAGGUAUAUGCAUGACUUCAUGUCCUGGGAUGAGCAGUGAAUUAAGAAGGGCCCUGUACGAUAGUCUAAAUGGUUACCAAACUAGGGUCCCAAGUGUGCCUAACUCGUUACCUGUGAAAUGACAUUGUUAUGUACAUGCCUCUUUAUGAAUAUAAUAUAUAUAUUCCUUUUCAUAUAUUUUUUUUCCUUAGCAUUUAAUAGGGAAAUAUAUAUUUUUUGCCUUAGCAUUUGAUAGGGAAAUAUCUCACUCUCUUCUCCUAUUUUGAAACCAUUGCUUUGGCCAUUGAUCUCUGUGAUCCAAGAUAAAAGAUAUUGAAUGUAGCAAUGCUAAGAUUAAUAUAAUAUCAUACAUAUAUUGGAUAGAAAUUGGAAUUCUAACUUUUAUAUAAUAAUAUAAAAGUUUUGUUCGCUUAUGAACUCAGUCGCACUUGAGCUUUCUUUCUUUUUUGUUCAUUGUGGAACAGAUUUGAGUAGUUUAGUAUGACAUUAGAAUGUGAAAAAAAAAAAGAAGAAGAAAAUUCUACUUGUUAACAAAUUAUCAUAAUCUUUUGUUUAAGAACUAGAACUGGUACACUAUUAAAUUGUAUGAAACAACUGUUGUACUAUAAAAGUUUAAGUUAAUAGAUCCAAGACGUGUGUUUAACUAAAUGAUCAGAAGAAUUUAAAUAAUGCUAGGAGCCUAAUGAGACUCGAACGUAGAACUCGAAUUCAGAACCUCCUGCACUAAUACCAUGUUAAAUUGCAUGAAAUAACUAUUAUACUUUAAAAGCUUUAGCAAUUAAAGAAUGACGCUUACAUAUUUUCUGCUCAACACACUCCACAUUUUCAUUGUUGCUAUUUUGCAUUAUAAGGCCUUGUCUUCGAAUUUUACAUUUCGGUAACUUAAGUUUUUGAAUAUUAUCGAUUGUUUCAUAUUAUUUAACAUCAUUAUCUCCCAAUCUUCACCGAGAUAUUUUUCUUUUGGGCUGAGCUCAACAACAAUUUUAUAAUGAUAGCUUCUGAGUACAUGGGACCGUUUCAUUCGCGAUCCAUCAUACUCAGAUAGAUGCGAAUUUCAAAACCGCGAGAGUAACGAAUGAGAUGAUUGAUCUUACGUUGAGAACUGUUCCCACUAAGUUCUGAGUCCUUCAGUUCAAUUUGCACUAUGAGCCAAUCAAAGAGAUUGCUAGUGCAACUCCUCGUGCUCGAUCAACAUUGGAGCUAGUAUAAUUAGCCGACCCUCGUGGUAGUGGUUCCAUCGAAAAAGGGAGAUUCAUUGAACCUAAAUAUGUGGCUUUUUUUUAUUUCUUUUUCUUUUUCUUUUUCCUUUUUCUUUUUUCUUUUUUCUUUUUUUUUUUUUUGGCUUGUUUUACGUACGCGUGCAAUUGUGGAUUCCCAUGCGAAAAGACACUUGAUCAUGGAAUGAGGAAAGAGAGGCAUGCAUGCAUAUAAUUGAGGCAAAGUGUGGGGUUUUUAGACGUAAUAUCCAAGCACAUGACAUGCUUGGUUGAAGAGAUAUUAAAAAGGGAGAGGAGAGGAUAAUAUGUGGACCCAUAUUUAAUCUUAUCCUCAGAGAAAAAGAAAAAAAAAAUGUAGGCCCAAAUGCGAGAUCAUAAAAUAAACCAUACGAGUUUAACUAAUUAGUACGACUUUGAUAGAAAAUAAAAAAUAUUUGACUAUAAAUAUGUGGGUUGAGUUAGUGUUGAAUUGUUGUUUUAAGAAAUUGUCGUAGGUCUAAAAAGUGGGGCUUAAGUUUGGCCAAAAUAUCGAUUUAGCGGGAAACGGACUUAAAACUAUAUAUGUAUUAACAUAUUUUAACUAAAUUAAUAAUUAUCUCUGUUUUCUUAUAUUUUGAUCCUUUCUCGGAAGUUGAAAUUUAGCCGAAAAAUAACUUUCAGUUGAACAAAGAUUUAUAUGAAAAUUAUUUUUCGAGCUAUUUAUUUGAUGGAAAGUCAAUGGCUUCGAAAUUUAUGUUCUUCCACUUUAUAUAUUUGUUUUACGGAAAUUUUGUAAAGUACUAAUAAAAGAGAAAAAAAAUUACAAAGUUAAUUUUUUUAUUAUAUAUUCUUUGAUUUUCUUCUGUAAAUAAUUUUCCCACAGUUAAAAAAAAAAAGCCAAUUACGGUAUUUUGAAAAAAGUUAAAAGUUAUGGCUAGUAAAGUAAUGAAAGUAGAAAUUUAUAGUUAAAAAUUACUUCGCCCAUCUCUAAUUUCAGUAAAACAAACAGCUUCUUGUUAUCAUCAGAAUUAAGUAAAUCUUUUCGCAAACAAACAAAAUUGAAAGCUUUGGCUAAAAUAAAAUUAAAAAAUAAUAAUUUGGCUCCUAAAAGCAAAAGUUUUAGGUCUCAUUUGGUAUUGUUGUCAUAUUUUUAUUUUUUUUGAAACAGUAAUUCUAAAAAAUUUGAUGUGAUGAUUUUUUUUUUUUUUAUUAUAAUUAGUUAGCUUACAACGCAUCCAAAUAAGUGGCAGAUAACAACCCGUUUAAAACAAUUUUGCAAGCAAAAUAAAUUUUUACAAAAUUUUUAUUAUUUGUUGUCAAAUAAACACUUCGGGUGAAAGGAAUUAUUAGUAAUCUACUGUCAACUGCGACACUUUUUAAUAUACAAAAUUUUAUUUAGAAAAAAAAAAAAAAAACAAACAUAAUGCCAAAUGAAACUUUAAUUUACCGUUUCUAAUAUUGUUACAAAAAAAAAAAAAAAAAAGCCAUUAGAGAUAUACCAAUAUAAUAUUUCUUAUUAUUGCACUAUUUUGACAACACUUCAUCAGCCAAUUAGAGAUGGAGCCAUUACAAAAUAAUUUACAUAAAUUAAUUAAAAGAUAGAAUAAUAUUUUCGUUUAUUUUUUGGGCUACAUAGUUAAUUUGAGCCCACUAACUGGGCCAACCCAACCCACUCUACAAUGGAACAAUCCAAAAGUUGGCCCAAUUUUGUGAACCCACUACAUGACUUGGGCCUACCGCUCCCUAUUUUCGCGUCAUUAUUGUUGAUACAGCAUCAAAAUUGAUAAUCGAUACUGUUAAACAUGCUCUACAGCUCGUAAGUUUUCGAGGAUUUAUAUAUCUAAGUUUCUUGGUUUUUCGACAUUACUUAGGACUCAAGUAGUCUCAAAUCACCAAUUUUUUAUGACAAUUACUUUUAAUGUAUUUAACACCACUUAAUCCAUAGAUAAGUAAUGUUAUAAAAUCACUAAAUUCAUUUCCUAUAAAGCUCAAUUACCGUAAAUUAUUUUUAACAUAUUGAUUAUCAAUUCGAAUGCCCCAGUACCGAUAUUCUAGCUUUAUGUGUAAAAUAUUUUAGGGCCUGUUUGGAUGUUCAGACUAAUUAUUCAUCGAGGACAUCUUUUACAACAAAAAAAUAUUGAAAUCGCAAUACAUUAAAUAGAGAGUACAUGUAACGAACUUACGUUAGCAUGCAUAAUGGACUUGAACCUAACAUUACAUGGUCAAACCAGGUAGUUUUACUCGACACGGCAACGAUUCAAAUAUUUAGUCAGUCGAUUGAUAUUCUCUAAAAACUUAUGCUGUGGGAGAAAAACUACUAAAAGAGAGAGUGCGUGCGGGGGCCGGAAAAGGAGAAACGCAGAUGUUUUUAAAAACAUUUCUAUAUAUAUAUCCAAACUUUUGACCAUAUAUAUAAUUUUACCAUUUUUUUUUGAAAAUAUAUAAACCAAUAAUUUCAUAACAAAUUUAUGCAAAAUGCAAAUUAUUACCCCAUCCAUUAUAUUGUUCGUGCUUUGCUUUCCAGCAUAUACAAUAUUUCUCUUCUUUUUUUUGAGAGAGAGAUAGGUAACACGCUAGCUGCUUUGUUUAUUUCAUAAACUUAGUUAGAAAUAUAAAUUAAUUAGGAUUCGAAUUUGGAUCUCGUAUACCAACCACCAAAUCCUUUGCUACUUGCUCUAGGAACGGCCGGUGUAUACAAUAUUUCUCAAAUGCUAUAAAUGGAUGAGCCGACGAACGAUUAGUGUACGCAUCGAAGUAUAUUAUAUUCCUAGCUCCAUGGCUAUACCUAUUGCAUGGGUUAGGUAAAGCCAAACUCAACCCACUCAAAAUCAUUACGUUUGGCUUAAAUUAUAUUCUAACUAAUCCAGGUUAAUUACGCCGCUGCGAUUUGGAGAUAUGUGAGAUACUGUUGAUAUAUAGCACCAAGCGUUUUGUGCUAUUAAAUUUUUCGCCGUUAGAUUUAACCCUUUUAUUAUUUUCAUCCGUUAGAUUAUAUCAUUAAACCAAUAACUUACUCAACUCUACGGAGCACACAUCAUCCUAACUGUACAUUUUUUCAUCCAAGGACCGAAACCUAAUAGCACCAAUAGUUUGGUGCUAUCGAUAGUACCCCAGUCAAAAGCACCAAGCGGGUGCGACCAAGUUUUCCGCCGUUAGAUUUAACCUUUUAACUAUUUUUAUCCGUUAGAUUAUACUAUUAAACUAAUAACUCACUCAACCCUGGGGGACCGACAUCGUCCUAACCGUACAAUUUUUUCAUCCAAGGGCCGAAAACCUAAUAGCACCAAUAGUUUGGUGCUAUUGAUAGUAUUCCAGCCUAUUUCUCUCUCUCUCUAUAUAUAUAUAACCCAUAUAUACUUUAUUAUAACAAGGAAAAACUUUAAAUAUCACUUCUAUGGUUUCGAACAUUCUCACUUUAGUAUUAUGUGAUUUAAAGUGUAUCAAUUUAGUAUCCUGUCAUUUCAUUUUUUUUCUUUUUAUUAUUUAUUCCACUAUUUUUUUUUCGUUAAAUCAGUGACAAAGUUAAAAUUAAAGAGUAUUAAAAUGAAUAUUCGAUAAAUCUAGAUGGGGUAUCUAAAAUUCUUUGUAUAUAAUUUAACGAAAUACUAACAAAAGAGCUGACGAAAAGAAAAAAUGAAACCCCAGAGUACUAACUUGAUACAUUUUAAAUUACAAGAUACUAAAGUGAGAAAGUACGAAACUAUAGGAUUGGUAUUUAAAGUUUACCCUUAUAAUAAUACAUUAGUCUCUAAGAAGCGGUAACUAACUAUCUCUAAUAAAGUUUCUCAAAGAGAGAAGUUUCCCAAAGAGAGUGAGUGCCACGCAAUGAACCAUUAUUAAUUAAUCCUAUUUUGUCUUUUUCUCUUUUUCUCGUUAAUUUCUGAGUAGCUUCGCAUGUUACGGCUAUAAAUUUUUGUUCUUUAAAAUACACAGGUAAGUCAAAUUAGUGGGUAUAUUAAUUAAUAGAUGCAUGCAAAUCGCGUGACGAGUUGAAAUAAUUGGUGAUGACAUAAGUGAAAUGAUUAUUAAUCGAAACUAAUGCGGUUUGAAAAUUUAGACACCACCUGUAUUGUGGUCAUGCAUGCGUCUAAAGCGAAUGUAUGCUGCUUUGGUGAAGGAUUUUUAAUUUCUAAAGCUUUAAUAAAAAUAUUGUUCGCGGAAAAUUGACCAAAAUAUUGCACUUGAUGAUCUUUUAUUGAAAGAGUAAAGCCAGAAUACUAGUAAAAAUAAAUAAAAUUGCUUGCUUCUGCGUAGUUUCUACAGAUACAUAUUUCUUAAUCUGAUGAGUAGUAUACGAGUACCGAAAUAUUUUGUCUGCAUCUCUCUUAUCUUAUCCUAUCCAAGGCAAUCAUGAACAAAAACCAAACCCAGCUUUCAAGUUAGACGACAAUCCCGAAGAAAAUAGAAUAAUCCACGCCUUCCGAAUCUAAAGCGAGCAGAAAGCAAAAGCGAAAACAAAACCAGAGUGCAACAGGAAGGUAUCAAUGGCUUUUGCUAGCAAUGCAUGAUGUUGCAAACACUGGUUUCACUUUUCAUCUUGAAAUCAUAAAGAAUGAAGCGAAGGGUGCAGAGAAUCAUCAUGGAAACUUUUUCUUAGUGCCACAACUCACAAAAACAAAAGCAACACCAAUCACUUUCAAACUAUUAAACAGCAUUUUCUUCUUCUUACACACAAUGCUCCAACAUAUGGAUAUCAUUUAUAGAGGACACCCCACAGUUUAUGAGAUUCCGAAAGGCGCGACAACGGUGGCCUUUUACAGGAGUUUAAUAUUGGGGUGCCCACUAAAAGAGAGGUGAAAUUAAAGGGAGGGGAGAGGUAGUGCUGUGACCAGACACAAAAGGGGAUUUUCGACGACCUAAUACAUCGAGCAUCACCAUAUGUCCUCUCCCUCCACUAUCUACAAAAAAAAAAAAAGAAGAGAAGAUAAAAGCACACUUACACCGUAACCACACACUUUAGGGCUUCAGAAUCCCACGAGCAACACUACUAAUGGUUCUCCUCGAAAGCAAAAGCUCGACCUUCCGUUCUUUCGUUGCCAAUACUUUAGUAGCAAGUUCAAGCUUUCAUAUCGGAAAUGCACCGACAAGCUCCAAUCGAGUAAUCGAGGACGCACACUAGUAUGUCGGAUCGUAAUGUACAGACACCGCAUAGAAAUGAAAUAGCAACAAAACCAAUAAUUUUACCUUAUUAAGAGUCUACUAUAGUACCUCCACUUUUUCAAUCGCAGCUUUGGUCAUCAAAGUUUUGUAACCCGAGCUUCUUUACUUCCACCUUGAGAUACUUCAGAUAUCUAACAGCUUCGUCGAGAACAGCGGGAGCGUCCAACCGGUCGCCGCCAGGGAUUAUUUCCCUAAGAACUCUGACCAUCUUUCUCAUUUUUUCUCUCUUUUUCUCCUUACUAAUUGAUCCAUCAAACGUGAAAUCUUGAGAAAAGCUCGGUUCAUGUUUUCCUGAGCAAGAAAAAUCAGGAGUUCGCCCCGUACUGACCACAUCAUCAUCAUCAUCAUCAUCAUCAUCAUCUUUUUUUCCAUCAUUGCCCUCCUCGUCCGAGCAAAGCAAUGCGUCAAUAUCUUUCGAGUCCUCCUCGAAAGAGGAAGAGAACUUGUCCUGACAAAUAUCAUUCUUUCUGCUUGAAAUUUUUCCCUUUUUCUCCGCGUGAUGCGAUGGAUAAAGGUCCAAAUUGGGCGAACCGAGCUUACGGACCAAGGCAGGAUGGAACAUGACAGAACCUUUGUCAUAAGUGUGGUCAAAGAUGAUGAAGUUUUUGGGGCAGUUUUCCAAAGGCUGGAACUCUAAUCCACUGAGUGGAGAUAGAAACUGCGGCGGAAAAGGGACGCUAUAUGGAUAGUGAUCGUUCAAUGCUGAGUUUUGGGUACAACCCAGUUCAUAUUCGUGAGAGAGGAAGCCCUUCCCGUUUAAAAUUCUCGCGUCCCCCUGCAUGGGUCUAUAGUACUGAAACAGGGAAUAUGCCUUUUCACAGAAACUGUGUUAUUUUCCGUACAGCGACAAAGGUGGAGACAAAUACCUUCUACCCCAAGUUAGCCAUCCUAUUAUUUCAAUUGCCUUAUGUAGUUUAGGACAGAUCGAAGCUAAAAUCGCGUCGUGCCGAGAACUUGGAACUACGUGACAGGCUUAAGCAACUGGCGGAAGUACUCAGGCUGCCAUUUUGGGAAUAAUUAAUCAGAAAUUCACAAAUAACAAGCCAAAGAAAACAUGUAAAUCAAAUAAUAAGGCAAAGAAAGCACGAAGUUUAAUCGAAGAUACAAUGCUAAAUCCUGAGGUAACUAUGAAAAAGCUAGCCCUACUAGGGCUCACGAAUAUGUACAUAUAAACGAUCAACGUUUUUUCUUUUUUUCUUUUUUUUCCCAAGUGAUGCUUCUGUACACGAAAGCAUGCAGGCCAUCCAUUUCCAUCAUCCAACCGCCACGAAACACGCCGCAAUAAAGGGGGUAACAAUAUCACAAUCGCAGUAAGCCGUAACCAGGGCACAUCAUAAGAAUUUGCGGAUUGUGAUCGUACAGCGGUGAGCAGAGUUGUACAGAAGCAUACCACAGUUCUAUAUUGCUCAAUAUUUUGCUUCCCCAAGUUAGCUUUGCAAACUCAUAUCUUAAUUAACUUGAUGAUUCAGAAACUACGAGUAAAAUUACUAUUUUUACGAACUAAAAGAAUCAGCUCAGAUUGAAACUACUUAAUCAACGCUCCGUGAUUAAUAAGGUGCGUCAAAUAAAAAUUGAUCUAAUGAAGAAACAUUUAGAGAAAGCGAGAUAAAAUCGGAGAAAAAAACACAUAGAAGAAUAUGAUUCACCUGACAAACUUGCAUCAAUUGGCAGUAAGCAAUGAUUCUAACAUUCAUUAUUAUUUCGCCGACCUCCUCCACCGUUCGAUACCUCUUUAGAUCGAUCUCAAUGUGCAUCCUCACAAAUCCAAUACCGAUAUGAAGAACAAAAAAAUUUGAAAAGAAAACACCUAAAUUUGUAGCAACCUCACCUGCACCAAAAACCCACCAAAAACAUUAAUUUGCAACCAAAAAGAAAAAGUUUUAUCUGAUGAAUUCGAAAGCGCACGGAGAUCAUACACAAUCACCCGGAAAAAUACGACAAAGCAAACGGAUUUCUUGCUCGUGUAGUAAUUCGAAUACAAUGGUGCCCACGGCAUGUUCUUCUUCUUUUGAUCCGGAAUCUAUCAAUCAAUAGAUAAAAUUUAUCAAAUUAAACGCUAUUAAUAACGAUUUGAAUCGAUCAACCAACAAGAAUUUAACCAAAAGAGAAGCUCUAAUUGAAUCCAAAAAACAAAAGCCUUCCAUAAUUCAAUAGAAAAAACCAACAGAAAAUUACCGAAAAUUAGAGGAGAUCGAGGAAUCCGAGAUUAGGGUUUCUACGGGGACGAAUCGAAUUGGACGAGGACGAGAUCAAAAUCGGAACUUGGAGCGGAUUUACGGGAGACUUCGAAGAGGGGCUCUUCGAUCGAGAGGAUUGGGGGAAAAAGGGAGCGCUUUUGUGUAGAGUCGUAGAUGAAACACGGGGCGAUAUAUAGAGUGUCGUCGCCUUUUAAGCUAACCCUAGGGUUUGGAAUUUUUUUUAUUUUGUUUUUUUUUUUUUAAUUCCACUUAAUUAAGGAUUUUAGGUGAGUUUGUUUAUUGGAAAUUAUUAAUUAUUAUUAAUUAUUAAUUAUUAACAAGGGUUAGAAAGAAAAAGGGUGCGUUUGGAUUUGGAUGGGGUGAAGCUUCGCGUGUGUCACGUGCGACUACAGUGUGUGUCCCCCCAUGCAUGGGAUAGGAGUAGCAUUUCGCACGUGUGGCAAGGUAUAGAAACACAUGGUGAGUGCAAUAAUUAUGUAUAAUGUAAUGCAAAUAAAUAUUAUAUUAUUAUGGAAUAUAACACAGCAUAUUAUUUAUUUUAUUUUUAAAAAAUAAUUUAAAAAUUAUAUUAUCCGUCUACUAAAUAUAUUAUAAAUGAAGCCUUAAUAAAAUCUUUUUUUUAGUAUCUUCAAUAAGUGAUGUAUGAAAAUAGACAUUCGUUUGAGGAGAAAAUUAUCCUCCCCAUAUGGAUGAGAUUGAGAUAACGUUUGGGAUAAAACUUAAGUAGAGAACUCGCGAACAAGACUUUGUUAAUUAAGUAUCUUUCAAUUUGUUACCAUAUGUGUAAAUAACAUGUUUCUUAAAGAAAUAACUAAUGUUAUUAGUUAAAAAAAAAAAAAUUCAACCCACUCUAUUAAUUUUGUAUCCAAUACUAAAAGGUAUUCUCCUACAAUAUUGCUUAUAACAUGGUAAUAUCAUUCUUAUACUCUAAACAUUAAUUACUAAAUCCCAAACACUAUUUUUAAAUCUUAAGCAUCAUCACCGUCAUUAUAUUUCAAACCCUAAACUCUAAUCUUUCUGCAUGCACGUGCAUACCGACACAUCAAUAACGUAUUGAGAUACUCUAAGGCGAGAAACCUAAAGCAUUUCACCUUGUAAAAAUUAUUGAAUUUUAGUAAUCUUUUUCGACUGGUUUUCUUUACGCUUCGUAUGUAUAAGAUGUAUUCUUGUGCAUGCGACGGUAUGUUGACAUAAUAUGAACUUCUAAUAUAAUUCGGAACGUGACAUUCAAAAACCCUAAUGCGAUUAGUCGGAGAUUCCAGAUCACUGGUUUAACCGCUCUAUUUUAGACUUUUUCUAUCAGAAGAGACUAGUGUGAAAUAUUUGAUUAUUCGAUGGUGAUUUGCGCAGUAGGAGUAUGAUUAUUACAGAGCAAUAAUUGAGAGAACCUUUUUAUGCGGUUUCUGGGAGGCAACAUCUCAUUGCGAGAGUGACACGUUACCUAAUUUCUGCGAUCCAAUGUUGACUCCUGAGACCUCAUCCCAUGUUGCUAUGUGUCCUUUUAUUUUAUUUUUUUAACUUAGGCAUUUUGGAGAUGUAUGUGUAUGUAAGUAGAAUCAACAAAGUCAUGCCCAAUCCUAGCUCCCCAUCCAUGUCGCAAAGAACAAGGACAAGAGACCACGUAACAAUUUGUGGGUUUUGUUUGGUUUUCCUUGGUCUCAAUGGGGAGGGACAAAAAAAAAAAGUAUAAUGUUGGGGUUUUGAUUGUUUGUACAAUGACCAAUUGAAGUUUUCAAGGUAAAUGUUAUAUUUAUCGUAAAGAUCGAUUCAGUCGAAAACGGUUCGAUAUUAAUCUUUUUAUACUGAAGAGGUAACAAAAAAGAGAUGUAUCGUGAAUUCGAUACGGCCUUUGUUUUCCAAACAAAAGAUCAAAAGAAUAAGGAUGAAAUGUAUAAAACCUUUCUAUAAAUACUUAUUUUUCUUUUUUCUUUCUCCACCUUCAAAAAUUUACAUUUUAGUCAUUCAAAAUUUCAAUUUGAUACAAUUAACACUCUCAGUAAGAGUUUAGUCCUUAUUCCAUCAAUUUGUUAUAAUUUAUACUAAAAAUAUGCUUAAAGAUGACAGAUAUAUAUUAAAAAAAUUCGUUAUAAACCAAGAAAGAGUAUUUUUAUCAUUUUGUUUUCUUCAUUAAUUAACGUCGUAACCUCAUAAAAGCAUUUUUACAUUAUUUUUAAUGAGGCAAAAUAUAGAUUUUGAAAAGUCAAGAUGGAAAAGUGAAAAAUGAAUAUUUUUAGAAAAAAUUUCGACGAUUUAGUCAAAGGCUAAACUAUCAAAGAAAAGUUUAGAAAUAUAUGACUAGAUACCAUUCUAUCCCAAUGUUGCCACUUGGUCAAUAACACUACUUUACUAAAAAAUUUUGAAUAUUAAAGAGUUUAACUUUAAUACCAGUAAGCAAAUAGUUACUCUAAAAACCUAAGUUCAUAAAUAAUGAUAUUUUAAUAUUGGAUUAAUUUCAUGCAGGUCCCUACAAAUAUAGUAAAUUACAAAUAUAUCCCUACAAAGUUCAACUUUUAUAUAUAAUUUCUACAAAAAUCCUAAUGUUUUCAAUUAUGUCCCUCUGGUUUAUUUUAUAAGUGAAAUAAUUUUUUCGCCAUCACAAAUAUAUUCCUCCAAAAAUUUUAAUUAUUAAUUAAAGAGGAAUAAAAAAAUUAAUUCAUCAUAUUAACUAACUAGGGUUAAUGUGGAGCUUAGGGCCUCAGCCCUUUGAAAAGGUUGGGCCGACCCAUCGAAAUGAAUCGAAAUAUUAAAACUUUGCUUUACGACAAAACACAUUACAUUACGUGAUCGUAAUUAUUUCAUUACUUUUGUAAAAUAAAAUCUUCUACAGUAAAGCUGCACACGUCCAAUCCUUUUUUUUCAAAAUUAAAUUUUGCUGAAAAAUAUCGAAAGAACACAAGUAUUAAUGUCCCCAAAAAAAUAAACAAUCAUACAAUCACAAUAUGCUACACAAAUAUUAACAUUUGCAACCACAUAGAAUAAACAACACAUGCAUGCUAUAUAAGCAUAAAACAUAUAUAUAUAUAUAUAUAUAUAUAUAUAUAUAUAUGUAGUACAAGAACAUAAAAAAAAUUACUUUUUUUUUUUUUCAUAUGUGUUGUAGUGUAUCCCACAAAAAGAAGUAUUAUUACACAGGAAUGAAUCUUUUUUAUAUAAAUAUACAAACAAAAAAAAAAAGAAAAAAAAAGACGGCCCCAGUGCAGCAGGCCGGCCCAGCCCGUGUCACUGUAGGGCAGACUGCCGGCACUCCCGUAGCAGGCCUGGCCGGGCUUGCCCCACCCGCUGCGGGGCCGGACAAGGCGAAAAUAAAAAUUAAAAAAAGUACAACAUAUGUAAUCUUUUUUUAAUGCACGAAAUAGAGAAAAAAAAAAAAAAAAACAACUAAUGUUAAAAAUAAAACGCAUAUCUCGCCAUCUCCCACGUGUUGCGAAUUCUCUUCUAUAUUCACACUCCAAAAAUAUCGAAAAUGUAGAUUUCCAACGUAGAUAGAAAUUUCAUAAAAAAAGAAGAGGUUAUCUGAUGCGUUGAGAGUACACUUUUAUAUCCACACUUCAAAACUCCGACUCUAAAAUUUUAGGAACAUAGGUGAAAAUCUCAGAGAGAAAGAAGAGAGAAAAGAAAGAAGGAAUCUACAUACUCGUGGAUUCUUAUGGAUACAAAAUUUGAAAGAAAGAGAUCGUAUUUAUAAAUUAUUAGUUUGAGUUAUAUAAUAUUAUUGAGUAUUUCGAUAUAUUUAGAUAUCGUGGAUUUCUAAAUGAGAUUACUAUUAAUGUUGUAUUAGCAUGUUUGAUUUAAUACAGUAAUUUAAUGCUGAAUUGCAGCGUUUAUAUCAUUACUAUGUUUGAUUCAAUCUAUAAAAUUCAAUAAUCUUGACAAUAAAGUAUAGACUAUUUCAAAAUUGCCUUUAAUCAUAUUUAGCAAAUUUUUUUAUUAUUUACAAAUAAUAAUUUUUUAUUAAAUUUUAUUUUAAAUAAUUUAAAAUUUUUAAAGUUUUGAAUUUGAACAAAAAUAUAAAAUUUAUAUUUUAAUUUAAAAUAUAAAUAUGAAAUUUAUAAAUUUAAAAUCUAAAAUUUAAAUUUAAGUUUAAAAUUUAAAAUCUAAAAUUUAAAUUUAAAAUUUAGAUUUUAAAAUACAAAUUUGAAUUUUAAAUUUUAAUAUUUAAAAUUUAAAAAUUAAAUUUAGAUUUUAAAAUACAAAUUUGAAUUUUAAAUUUUAAUAUUUAAAAUUCAAAAUUUUAGAUUUAAAAUUUAAAACUUUAAAUCUAAAAUUUUAAUUUUUAAUUUUUAAAAUUUAAAUUUUCAAAUUUAAAAUUCAAAUUUGUAUUUUAAAUUCUAACAUUUAAAUUUAAAAUUUAGAAUUUAAAAUUGAAAUUUGCAUUUUAAAUUUUAAAUUUUAAAUUUUAAAUUUUAGAUUUUAGAUUUUAAAAUUUUAAAUUUUAAAAUUUAAAAUACAAAUUUCAAUUUUAAAUUUUAAAUUUUAGCUUUUAAAAAUUAAAAAUUCAAAUUCAAAUUUUAAAAUUUAAAAGUUGGCAAUUCAAAAUUUUAAAUUGAAAUUUUUAAAAUGACAUAUUGAAAGAAUUUCGGGAGUUGGAAGGGUAAACUUAUAAUUUUAUAUAAUAUGCAAAAUUAGCCACCUUCCAUAAUCCAAGAUAUAUACUCAUCCUUGGUAGUAUUUUCGGUGUAAUCUUAAACCUUUUAUAAUGCUGCAAUAUCAAACAGAUUACAUACCAGAUGAACUAAAUGCAGUAAUCCCAACAAGAUUUUCUGUAAUUCUGUCAGAAUAAUCCGAACCAAAUGCAUCCUUAAUAUAUUCUGAGUCUUACAUAAAGAUUAGGAUUAGAGUAUCUAUUAAAGUAUAAUAAAUAUUAAUGAGGAGAUAUGUUUCUUAACUAAUAAGAAAUAUAUAGUCCAUCUUUAUCUUAAGUUAUUAGGAUAAAUCUUGAUCCAUAUCUUAUAUGGAUUGGAUUGAAUUUGAACAGACUAAUGAGGGCAUAGUAUAUAGCAACAUGUUUGUUGUUCUAAAGCUUUAAGAACUUUUGCUUCUACCACAAAUAUUUGAUAAUUAAUAUUGUAAAAUAAAAUAUAAUAUAAAAUAUACUUAAAUAAUUUAUUGUAUAAUAUAAAUUUAUUUUUGAUACAUAUUUCAGAACGUGUAACGAGUGCAUCCAAAAAAAUUUUAUAAGGCAUUUGGUAAGCUCCUAUUGGCUCAUGAAUUAAUUGGCAUGCAAUGAUGCAUUCGAAAAAUUUGUAAGGCAUUUGGUAAUAUUCUAUUGGCUUAUGGAUUAAACGGUGACGUGGUUUGAUGAGGAGCCAUUUCAAUGGUAGACGCAAGUCCAAUUUAUAUAUUGUAUAGAAGGCAUUUGGCAAGCUCCUAUUGGCCCGUGGAUUAAUUAGCGUGCAAUGGGUGCAUCCAAACAUUUUGUAAGACAUUUGGCAAUCUCCUAUUGGCUCAUGGAUUAAAUUGGGACAAGGCUUCAUGAGGAGUCAUUUCAAUAAUAAUGUGACGCAAGUGCAAAUAUAUAUUGUAUAAAUUUUUGAUACAUAUUUCAGAACGUGCAACGGGUGCAUCCAAAAAUUUCAUAAGUCAACCGACCGUCCUUAAAGCAAGUGGUAAAGAGUUUGAUAGUUGGUACCCGAGACCCAAGUUCGAAUCCUAGUUGAUUCAUAUUUCCAGCUAAAUUUAUUUUUAAAUAAAAUAAACGAAGCGGGUAGUAUACUAUCUAUCUCUCAAAAAAAAAAAAAAAAAAUUCAUAAGUCAUUUGGUAAGCUCUUAUGGGCUCAUGGAUUAAUUAACGUGCGAUGAGUGCAUUCAAACAUUUUGUAAGGUAUUUAGCAAUAUCCUAUUGACUCAUGGAAUAAAUUGGGACGUGGCUUCAUGAGUCAUUUCAAUAAUGUGACUCAAGUGUCAAUUCAUUUAUUGUAUAGAUUUUGUUUACAUAUUUCAUAACGUGCAACGAAUGUAUCCAAAAAAUUUAUAAGUUAUUUGGCAAGCUCCUAUUGGUUCAUGAAUUAAUUGGCGUGCAAUGGGUGUAUCUGAAAAUUUUUUAAGUCAUUUGGCAAUCUCUUGGCUCAUGGAUUAAAUAGGGACGCGAUUUCAUGAAGAGCCAAAUUCAAUGAUGUGACCAAAGUGCCAAUUUAUAUAUUGUAUAGAUUUCAGAAUCAUGCAACGGGUGUAUAUAAAAUUUUUAUAAGGUUUUGACAAGCUUCUAUUGGCGCAUAAAUUAAUUAGCGUAUAAUAGGUGUAUUCAAAAUUUUUGUAAGGCAUUUGACAAGACUUAAGGAUUAAAUGGGGACGUGACUUUACGGAGAGCCAUGUCAAUGAUGUGACCUAAGUGUCAAUUUAUAUAUUGUAUAGAUAUUCCACUUCAUUGUUACCUAUAAAAAGGGCCCAAUUAUAACUAAGUUGUCACGUAUCAUACAUAACAUAUCAUUUGCAUAGAGUGUUGAUUAAAAGGAAGCAAUCAUAUAACCAUGUUUUGGAGUGUGGAUCUGUUAGGGUCUGCAGUGGCUGCAGGUUUUGUGGUGGUGUUCCUGAGAUUGUUGAAUUGGGCGUGGCUGCGGCCGCGGCGGCUCGAUCGCGCCUUACGGGCUCAGGGCCUCCGGGGCACGACGUACCGGUUUGUCUAUGGCGACGCCGCCCGCAUGGAGCAGCUCCGCAAAGAGCGCGAGGCGAAGCCCCUCCCGGAUCUAACCCACGAUAUAAUCCCGCGCAUCGCGCCGCUGUUUCAAGAAGCCAUGAGGGAACAUGGUACAUUAUUUUCCUUCCGUUAUAUAUAGUUAUAACUGCAUGAUAAUUAUAACUAAAUACAAAUUCAAAUCUAAUGAUUGACUUAAUACAUUUGAGUUCAACUGCAGCAGUAGUUGAAAUUAUAUCCAAAUUGAAUGCAGUUUCAGUCUCAAGCAAUUGGAGAGAAUAACUUUAUGAAUACAAAAAUUCUUAUUUUUGGAGAGAAUAACUUUAUGAAUACAAAAAUUCUUAUUUUUUCUAUAUAAGGCGUAAUAUGAUCAUCCUAUAUAUAAACUAAUAAAAUCAUAUAAAUAUACUUCAAUCUCAACCACAUAAAUUAAGCUACACAAAUUAUUUAUAAUUAAAGCAUUUUCUACUAUAUUCAACUAAACAAAAUAUAGGCAAUUAUAAUUGCUGCAUUAAUUGUCAAUUGUAUUUACAAUUACAUCCAGCCAAACAAUCUCUUAGAGUGAAUAAUUUCACUAAUAAUCGAUUUUUUUAAUGUUUUUAAAUAAGGUAAAAUAUCAUUCAUUUGGCUUGGACCCCACCCAGCUGUGACCAUAAUGGACCCAGGUUUGGUCAAGGAGGUUUUAUCAACCAAGUUUGGAGACUUCCAGAAACUCAAACCUGACUCACUAUCAAGGGCUGUGGUCACAGGGCUUUUACUUCAUGAAGGUGAGAAAUGGGCCAACCACAGGAGAAUCAUCAAACCUGCUUUCCACUUGGACAAACUAAAGGUAAAUAUGAUCACUUCCUUCAAAAUCCCAACCCUAAUUUAUUAUUAUUAUUUUUUUUAAGUUUAAGGUGAAAAUAAUUUGUCCGAACGUACUCACUUUGAUGCUUUAGAUUUUAGAACGUUGGAAAAGUUUGAAACUACGUACACUUUGGACGGGGGAUUUGGACCAGUUGGUAAAGAUACCUGAAAUUUUGUUAGAACCCAAAUUCGAGCACAACAAAUUUAUUCGAUACUAAACAGAAUUCGACAGAUUUAGACUUGAGUAUGAAUUUUGUUUGUAUCCUAACCCGAAUAAAUUUUAUAGUAUAUAAUUUAUAUAUGCUAGUGUUGUUAUAUUUGAAUUUGUGUUUUGAAAAUAUAGAAUUUUAUAUAUAAUAUGUUUUGAAAUAUAGUAAAGAAAAAUGAUUAUUUCUGAUUCUGAUUCGGGUUUUCAGGAUCGGAUUCGGAUUUCCAGGUUUUGGUCGCAUUCAGUUUUAGGCAUGAAUUUUUAAAAUUUGUCGAAUUCGGAUUCGGAUACGGAUUCGAAUUUUAGAUUUGAUUGUCGGAUUUUGGAUUCUAAUUUUUAAAAAUUCGCUAUGAAUCUAACGUAUUGACAUCCCUACGUUGGACCAUUGGACAAGUAGCUUUUUCCAAUCUCCUAAGGCAUCACAAUUUUUGUUAUCAUAUAUAGGCAAUUCUUUUAUUUGAUAUUCAAAAGUCAAUUUCUAAAUACGCAGUCCAUAAUUUUUAGAGAUAAAUAAUUAUUUUAUAAUAUUUAAUAUAGUAUCAAAUUUUAAUACAAUUCUAUAUGUUGGCCUAUCAAAAAAUUUUAAGCUCAAACAAGGAUUAACCCUGGAUGUGGUUCUCUGUUGAUUUUUUCGAUGCAGAUGAAAUUGUAUAAGCAGAUUUUUUUUUAUUUCCUUAGAGCACGCAAAGCAAGAAUUUGUCAAAUCAUUCUCUAACACCUUAUAUAUAUAUAUAUAUAUAUAUAUAUAGAGUGAGGCUACUAUACUAUCGGAAGCACGGAGCCUUCCGUGCUUCCAGCUCGUUUUCGAUGUUGCGACUUUCGAAUCGUCGAUCGGCUCCGUUAAACUUGAUCUAGAGUAUUUGAAGUAUCUAGAAAAUAAAUUUUAUGAUUUUACGAUAUCAUUUGCCUAGUGAACGAAGGGGCUCAAAAUCAACGGCUGAAAAUAAAAAUCUUAUAAAAAUUCUUAAAAAUUUAAUAAUAUGACAUUAAAAUUUUAAAUCAAAGAUAUUGAUCUUGUUUUAUAUAGUAUAAAGAAUUUUCUAUCAAAAUUCAGUGAUUUGGAUAUUUCUACACCGUUAAACUUGCAAACGGCUCACUACGGCCAUUGAAAUUUGUUGAUUUUGGCACAUUCGAUUACUAGGCAAAUGAUAUCGAAAAUAAUAAAAUUUAUUUUCUAGGUACUCCAAAUACUCUAGAUCAAGUUUAACGGAGCGGAUCGACGAUCAAAAGUCGCAACAUCGAAAACGAGCCGGAAGCACGGAAGGCUCCGUGCUUCCGAUAGCACUAGUAGCCUAUAUAUAUAUAUAUAUAUAUAUAUAUAUAUAUAUAUAUAUAUAUAUAUAUAUAUAUAUACUUUUUGAAACAAAGGAUUUCUUACAUUAUUUAAGACACGCUCAUAACAUGCACAAAUUAGUUUGUAAAGCACAUACUUAUAUACAUUAGCAAAUGUUAUAAAUACCAAAAUUUUACUUUCGUUUUUUUCUAGUAUUCAAAAAUCAAUUUCAAAAUAUGUUAUACAAUAUGCUGAAUAUAAAUAUUAAAAAUAUCAUUCUGUAAUAGUUUCAGCGUGCGAACAAUAUUUAUUUCAUAUUAGUCUGAUAUUAUUUAAAUUUCUUUCACUUAAUUCAAAUUCACGUCCUGCGUCUAUUAAAAAGGUCUCCAGGCCGGUGCUUCAUAUUAAUUUGACACGGUCGCUCAUGUCUUAUUUUUCCUUUUUAUUUAUUUAUUUAUUUAUUUAUUUUUGUUGAAAUAUAUUUGUUACGUAUAUGUAUAGUGCAUGUUACCGGCAUUUUCUGAGUGUUGCAACGAAUUGAUCGAGAGGUGGGAGAAGCUUUUUGCUGCCGGAGGUGGUGGUGGCAGCGACGGUGAAGUGUCGCCGCAUAAGGAGGUGGACGUGUGGCCAGAAUUUCAAAGCUUCACGGGCGACUCCAUCUCCCGGACGGCGUUCGGAAGCAGCUUUAAGGAAGGGCGGCGCAUCUUCCAUCUCCAGAACGAGCUGGGCGAGAUCAUCGUCGAAGUGGCGCGACGUGUACUUCUUCCCGGAUACAGGUAGGUGAAUACAUAUUGUCCUAUUUGAAUGCAUAAUUAAACAUCUCAUUUGGUAUAUUUUCUUAAUUUGUUUAGAUUCUGUUUGAAUGUCAGAAUAAGUUACUCAGAGAUAACAAGUAUGACUAUGGAUAAGAAGUUUGAUUUUUUAUUUUAUUUUAAAUUUUGCUAUUUACUAUUUGAUAGAAUAAUAUAUUUAAUUUACAAAAUAAUAAUUUAUAUUAUUCUGAAAAAAACAUAUUUAUUGCAAUAAGAUGAAUAAUUUUAUAGAUAAAAUAUAUUAUGCUACUAAUCUACGAAUAUUAAGAUAUUUAGAAGGGCAAAAAUCAAGCCUCAUACUUAUAAUUAUAUUAGAAAAUUUUCAUAUAAAUUUUUUUGGAUAACUUAUUUUGAUAUCUAAACAAAGCUUUUAAGUGUCGCAUGGUUAGAUGCAUUUAUACUUGCAGACUCGUCUAAAAUCACUAGGAUUGAAUCAACGUAAUUUAUUAUAAAAUUUUGAAAAUUUAGAUGGUAAAUAUAAUAGUUUAAACCAUAUAUAAUUUCCUUCUUAGAUCAAUAUAAAGCAAAACAUUGUUACUCUUUCAUUGACACAGGUACCUGCUCACAAAAACGAACAAGCGAAUCGACAAAAUACUUGCAGAGAUUGAUGUGCUGAUGAGGGGAAUGAUUGAGCAAAGAGAGGAGGCCAUCAGAAAAGGAGGGUCCAGGAACACUGACUUGCUGGCCUUACUACUGGAGUCGAAUUUGAAGGAGAGUGCAGAGCAGGGAGGAUCCGAAACCGCGAUGACGACGGAGGACGUGAUCGGGGAAUGCCGGCUGUUCUACCUCGCCGGGCAGGAGACAAUGACGGUCCUUCUGACGUGGACGAUGGUCGCGCUGAGCAUGCACCCGGUCUGGCAGGCGCGGGCCAGGGAGGAGGUGUUACGAGCGUUCGGCAAGAGUAAGCCCGACUACAACGGCUUAAGUCGGCUCAAGAUUGUGAGUAUCCAAAAUUCGCGCAUCUCUCUUGAUCAGCGGGCAAUAACGAGAUACAAGUAAUGCUAACUCAUAAACAAUAUUUUGCUGCAGGUGACGAUGGUUAUAUACGAAGUCCUUCGCCUCUAUCCUCCCGCAACUAUGAUCUCGCGGGAAACAUACAAGGAGAUGAAGCUCGGAGAUGUCACAUACCCGCCAGGCGUAGAACUCGUUCUGCCCAUAGUGUUCAUCCACCGCGAUCCCGAAUUCUGGGGCCCCGACGCCGGGGAAUUCAACCCCGAGAGGUUUGCAGAGGGAAUAUCCCAAGCGUCGAGGGUUCCGGGCGCCUUCAUCCCCUUCAGCGGCGGCCCGCGGGUGUGCGUCGGCCAAAGCUUCGCCUUGCUGGAAGCGAAGCUGUGCCUCGCGAGGAUUCUGCAGCAUUUCUCGUUCGAGCUUUCGCCUUCGUAUGCUCAUGCUCCUUACAAUGCCCUAACUCUCCAUCCCCAGUUUGGUGCUCCAAUCAUCAUGCAUAGGUUAUAGAAUGAUCGUUUAAAUGUUAUGCGUAAGAGGAUGUCUGAGGAAUAUUAUGUUCCCAGUUAUUAUAUUUAUUGUAUGUACCUCUCCUGUAAUAAAAUAAAUUGGCUUUUGAUUAAUAAUGAGAUGGGGAGAUGGUUUUAGUUUUCAUUUGGAACCGUAAAUGCAGUAGUGUAUCUAAACUAGCCAAAUCAUCGUAGUGGAUAAAAAAUCACACUUUAAAAGCUUAUAAAAAUAUUUGGGGACUUGAGAGAGAAAAUAAACAAACACACACACAAAGUGAAAGGAUGAUAUUUCAAAUUGAUAGUGAUCAUCUCUUAAUUAAUACUUUCUCCCAGCAACUCAAUAAUGAGAACACUACAAGCUCGGAUAUAAGCAAAAACUAUUUAUUCCAUAGGUACAAGUUCAAAUUGUAAACAAGAAUUACACUAAUUUUGCAAUUGAAUGAAAAUUAAAUUAUUUUCAGAAAUAAGAAAAAUUGCGUUUGAAUGGAUAAGAUGGAAUAAGAAAAAUAGUUAGUAGUUAUAAAUAAAAAAUAUUGAUAUUGCCCUUUAUAUUAUAUUUAAAUUUAAAUUUUAUAUUUAAGUUUUUAAAUUUAAAUAUAUAACUUUUAAUUUUCAAAAAAGUUAAAAUUUAAAUUUAAAUUUUUAAAAUCUCAAAUUUGAAGUUCUAAAGUUUAAAUUUUAAAUUUAAGAUCAAAUCUAAAUUUAAAAAUAUAAAAUAUCACAAAUUUAAAAUUUAAAAAUUAAAAAUAUAAAUUUUUAAAAUUUAAAAUUAAAAUUAAAAUUUUUAAAUUUGAAUUUUUAAAAAUUAAAUAGGGGUGGGAAGAGUCGUUCCCACCCCUAUUCCCACAAAGGUGGGAAUAACUAUCCCACCCCUUAACGGACUUUUUUUUUGUGUUUGGAAAUAAAAAGGGGAUAACCCUUAUCCACCCUCUAUUGUCCAGUGAAAGAAAACAUAUAAAAAUAUUCCGAUUAGAAAAAAGAAUUAUAAAAUUUGGUUUCUAAAUAUUUCUAACAGCGUAGAUCAUUUCUCAUGGGGCCAAUCAUCGAAUUGGAUAUUUCAUCAUCAAAAAUAAUUUACAACCAUAGAUGUCUCCCUAAUUUUGAAAGCACAGAAAGCACAUGAAACUUGUUUAGUACACAGGAAUAAUUUUUUUUAUAUAAAUAUACAAACCCAAAAAAAAAAAAGACGGCCCUGUUCAGCAGGUCGGCCCAGCCCGCGCUACUGCGGGGCAGACGGCCUGCAGUGGGCGAGCGGGCCUGGUCUGCCUCCUGCUGCAGGACGGACCGGGCCUGCCAACUGCUGCAGGGCGGGCGGGCGAGCCUGAAAGCGGGGCCCGGCCGGCACUCCCGUAGCAGGCCUGGCCGCGCUUGCCCCACCCGCUGCGGGGCGGGACAAGGCAAAAAUAAAAAUUAAAAAAAAUACAACAGAUGUAAUCUUUUUCUAAUGCACGAAAUAGAGAAAAAAAAAAAACUGAUGUUAAAAAUAGGAAUAAUUUCAUAGAUGCCCCUCUAGAAACUAUUAAUUUCAUCAAUACCCUUCCAAAAUUAAUAAUAUCACAAAUACCCUCCAAAAUGUGAAAAAUUAUCAUAAAUACCCUCCUCUAGUUAAGAUUCAUUAAAGCCCAUUUGAAUCGGAGUUAAAUUUUUAAAAUACCAUUUUUACCCUUUAUCUCUUUUUAAUAGUAGAAAUACUAAUAGGUAUUUCAAAAUAAUUUUUGUAAAUCUAAAUUUGAGUAUUUAAUAUAUAAAUAGUUAAUUAAAUUAUUAAUAUAUAUUAAUUAAUAAAAAAUAUAUAAAAAUUGUAUUUUAAAUAUAGUAUGUUUUUAUCUGAUUUUGGUUUUGUUUUUGGUUUUGGGUUUCGGUUCAGAUUCGGUUUAAAUAUAGACCAAAACUAUAUAACUGAAUUUACAUACGACGGGAUUUUAUUUUUUGGUAUCUAUAACUAAAACUAUCCCCUAUUCAGCAUUGAUUAAACUUAUCCCAUUUUAAAUCGAGUUUAGAUAAAAUUCCGUAUCUAUAUCAAUUCACAUUCCUAAUUAGUAAUAGUAAUUUUGAAAUAAAUUAUAGAUUUUAUUUUUUUCCUAUUUAAAAAUAAAUCACAUAAUUGUUUUGUCGAUUGAAAUAAAAAGAGAGUUUUGUUCAAAAGCUAAAAUAUAUUAUAUUUCAGUUUUUUAAUACACUUAAUGCAGAUAAAAUUAUCGAGAAUAAUUUUGAUUAAAAAAAUUUUUAAGUUUUCAAGAUUAAAGAAAGAUCGGAUAAUUCCUUAACAUUAUUUUCAUUUAAAUUUUAUAUAUAUUUAUUUAUUUGAUAAAAAAUAAAUAGAGCCAUUAGAUUUGGUAAAAUCAUCAAAAAAAACUAAAAAAUUCUUUUUUUUUUAUACACUGAAAUUAGGUUUUUUUUAUAAAUAAAAAGUUAAUGGGAUAUCAACUAAAAAAUGAAAGUUGAGGGAGCUGUUUCAAAAUGCAUAUAGUUGAGGGGGUUUCCACACAUUUUUAGUUAAAAGAUAUUUGAGGGUAAAUAAGUCAUUUUAAAAAUUAACCCAUCUUUAACCAUGUAAUAACUAUAGUAAAACUAACCUAACUAACAGUAGGGGUAUUAAUGAUAAUUUUUUGUGUUUAUAGGGGUAUUGGUGAUAAUUUAAACUUUAUAGGGGCAUCUAUGAUAUUUUAAACUUUGGGAGGGGUAUCCAUGAAAUUGCCCCUUAAAAAUAAAACGCAAAUCCCACCUUCUCCUACGGAUUGAGAGUUUUCUUCUAUAUUCACACUCCAAAAAUACCGCGAACGUAGAUUUCAACGUAGAUAGAAAUCUCUGAAAAAAAAGAAGAAAAUCACAUGCAUUGAGAGUACUCUUUUAUAUCCACAUUUUAAAACUCCGACCUCAAAUCUUCAGGAACAUUAGUGAAAAUCUCAUAGAGAAAAAAAAAAACCGAAAGAAAAAAAUUGUAUUUAUAAAUUAUCGAUGCCCUUUAUUAUCUUCUAAAUCAUCCCGAUUAGGAUUAGAGUAUCUAUUACAAUAUAAUAAAUAUUAAUAAUAAAGAGAUGAAUUUCUUAACUAAUAAAAAAUAUACAGUCUAUUCUUAUUUUUAACUUAUUAGGAUAAAUAUUCAUCCACAUCUUAUGUGGAUUGGAUUGAAUUUGAUCUGGCCAAUACGGAUACAACACAUAGCAGCAUGUUUGUUGGUCUAAAGUUUUAAGAACUUUCGUUUCUACCACAAAUAAAAUUUCUUUAAGAAAAACAUUCAAAGAAGCAACCAAAAUUAACUAAAUUAUACAUUCACUUUAAUUUUCUCAUUACGAUUUUAAUUAUAAAAAAAUUAACCCCUAAACUUUCUCGCGCGUAAAAUUUGAAUUUCCAUGUUAUUUAAAUAAGCCUCCGUGUGAGGAGCAAAAUUAGAAUUUGCUUUGUUAAAAUAGAAACAGUCAUCACUAAAUUAAGACUGGGAUGAAACUUCAAUAAUUUAGAAAAUUUGAGAAUAAAAUCUAGAUAAGAGUCAAACUUCCACGGAUGAAGUUGUUCUAAUUAAAAUUUUGAGAAUAGAACUAAAAUUCUCAUGAAUUUUUUGUUUAAAGGUGAUUAAUAUUUUAAAAUAAGAAAUGUUUAUUUCAGAAAUAAAAAAGAACUGCUUAUUUCAUAAAUAGAUACAAAAUUCAGGUAUAAGCUGGAACUAGAGUAAUUUUUUAUUUGGAUGAAAAUUAGGUUGUUUUUGAGAAAAAGAUAAAUAAUAUUUGGAUGGCUAGAUUGGAGUAGCGGAAAGUAUUAAUUAAAAUAUUUAUUAGCUAUGAACAUUAUAUAAGAUAAUUAAAAUAAUUAAUUAAUUUAAUUAAUUAUAAAAUACAAAUUGAUUUUUUAAUUACUUAGUGAAUUAUUUAAUUAGUUAGAUGAGUUAUUGAGAAAUUAAUUUAAUUACUUGACCAAUAUAAAUAUUGGUUAUUAAUUGAACACAUUAAAUAAUUAAUUCUUAAUGAGCUAAUUGACUAUAAAUAAUAAAUAAACUAAUUGAUUAAUUAACUAUUUAAACAAUAGAUAAUAAUUCAAAUAUAUUAAUUAGAUUAAUUUAUAAGUUAAUAUAAUAAUUAAAAUUAGAUUUUAACUUUAGCUAAACAUGUUUCCAUUUGGAAGCAAACUUAUUCCUAAAAGAAAUUUUGGGGAACAGUGAGGAUAAAAUAGUCUUUUCACGAUCUAAAAAGCCACGCGUGAUAUACAAAGACCAUCUCAUGUGGUGGUAAAACAUGUUGUACUUGACCCAAGGGUGUGGUGGUGGCCUACCAAGGGUUCCAAUCAAACCCGUAAACGACCCGGCGUUUUGUUAGAUAUAAUAAGAGAAAACUUCAAAAACAUAUAGUUAGAAAUACAUAUAGUUUUUAUAAAUGCAAUAUAAAUAAAUGCAAUAUAGAUAGAAAUACAUAUAGGUUUUUUUUGACAGAUAGGUAGCACGCUACCCGAUUCGUUUAUUUCAUUUAGAAUAAACUUAGCUGGAAAUGUGAAUUAACUAGGAUUCAAAAUUGGGUCUCGGGUAUCAACCAUCAAACCCUUUUGCCACUUGCGCUAGGGACGGUCGGUAGAAAUACAUAUAGUUGAAACUAUAGUAGUUGUAACUACAUAUAUUUCAUUUGGCUGGAUGUAAUAGAAAACGCUGCAAUUACAAGUAAUUUGUUUGGUUAUAAUUAUAAAUAAUUUUUGAAAUAAUUUGGUAAGCAUAUGAUACCUCUAAAAUUUAGAAUAAUUUCAUAUAUAAAAUAUGAACUACGCUGAAGUACUAUCAACAGCACCGAGCGCUUAGUGCCAUUAGAUUUUCCGCCUUUGGAUGAAAAAAUAUACGAUUAGGAUUAUGUGAGCCCUCUAGGGUUGAGUGAGUUAUUGAUUGAAUAGUAUAAUCUAAUGGAUAAAAACAAUCAAAGAGUCAAAUCUAACGGCGGAAAACUUGGUAGCACCAAGCAAUUGGUGCUAUCGAUAGUAUCCCAGCCGGACUCUAUAAAAUAUAAUAGAAUGUAAUCUGAGGGCAUAUUUGAUUCAUAAUUGAAAUAAAAAAUAAAAAAUUAAAUUAAAUUGUUUCGGAAUUAAAAAUACAAUGAUGAAUCAUCCAAAAAUAUUUGGUUUAUUAUUGGAAUAAAAAUCGAAAUGAAAAUUUAGAAUUUUCGAGAGAGAAUUUUAAUUAAGAGAAAGAAAAAUGAUGAACGGAAAGAAGAUAGAUGUUGGUGAAAGUGGAUUUUGAAUAAUUUACUUUGAAAUGGGCCAAUUUGGAAUUCAAAGCCGGAUUGAGCACCAACUAUCCCUAGCGCAAAUGGUAAAGAGCUUGUGGUUGGUACCCGAAGUCCCAAAUUCGAAUCCUAGUUGAUUUACAUUUUCAGCUAAGUUUAUUUCUAAUUAAAAAGAAAUAAACGAAGCGGCUAGCAUGCUAUCUUUCUCUGAAAAAAAAAGUCGGAUUGGGCCAUAAAUGGAUUUAGCCCAUUUUCAUUCCGGAGUGGAAUGGGAACUAGAAUCCGAUUCUUAUAAAACAAACGACAACUAUUGAAAUUAAUUAAUUACAUUUUAAUUUCAUAGUGUAAAAUAGGUGAACCAAACAUAUCCUUAAUUCGGUUAUAUUAUUUUGGGCAGUAAUUAGACUCGAAAGGUUAAGAGGAUUAAAUUUGACUCGAAAGGUUGAGAGGAUGCUAAAGCAAUUAUAGGAUGAGUGAUUUUUUAGGAAGCAGAGUGUUUUUUAUAUCAGAGCAAAUCACCAGUUAGAAAUGUAAGAUAAAUUUCAACUGAGGUGAGAUGAGAUCAUACAGUGGGCAAAGUGCGACUCUCCGACUGUCGGCCGUUGUGAAUGGGAAGAUUAUACAGCGAGCAGAGCGCGGCUUCCCGAUUGACAGCUAUUGUGGGCAGAGCGCGACUGUUCACAAGGUCGGUAAAGACUAGCGAGAUGAGUGACACAUCGCCUGAUAUUUAUAAGGGGCAAUUGCCUAUAUACCUCUGAAAAGUGCUCAGUUUUCUUAUUUACCCCUCUUAGAAAGCUAAUAUUGAAAAUACCCUUCUUAUGUUCCAAGUCUUUCUAAUAUACCCCUGGAGUUAAGUUCCGUUAGUAAGCUGCCGUUAUCUCUGUAAAAUUACCAUUUUGCCCAUUCUAAAUAUACCCUUCUACCGUAACUAACUUUUCUUAUAUAUCCUUUAUAUAGCGAAUACUUUUCUUAUUUGCCCUUCAAAUAUCAAUUAAUUAAUUAAGCACGUCGGGAGCGAGCAGAUGAACGGAUGAGAUCGAUCGCAGCUAAACAAACCUUGGUGGUUGGAGACAUAGUUAGUUAAUUCAGAUUUGGCAAAAAUUCGGUACGGAUAAAAUUCGGAUAAAAUUCGUCUUUUAAUUUUUAAAUUUGUUGAAAAAUACGGCUAAAAAUUGGAUUAGGCAAUUAUUCAGAUACGUAAUUUUUACAGGUAUUAUGUGUUCACCAAUUAAAAAUUCGGAAUAAAAAAUUCGAAUAUAUAAUAAAUAUAUAAUAAUUAAUAUACUAUAUAUAUUAUUAUUAUAUUAAAUAUAUAUAUAUUAAAUAUAUAUAUUUAAAAUUAUAAUAAAUAUAUAUUAAUAAUAUAUAAGUGUUAUAUAUUUAAAAAUAUUAAUAAACUUAGAUUUGUGCAAAUCAGAAGACUAAUUUAUUCCAAUUAAUCUCAGAUAAUUAACUAUUCCACCCUAAUUAACUCUCCUAAUUAACUCUUCCACCCUAAUUAACUCUCCUAAUUAACUCUUCCACCAUAAUUAACUCUCUCAAUUAACUCUCCCAAUUAACUCUCCCAAUUGACCCUCGUACAGCACCCCUCCUCGUCCCCUUCCUCCGGCACCGACAGCACCCACCUCGACCACCGUCGCCACUCCAAACCUCGAGGGUGGCGACCCAUGAGGCAAUAUUGGUGAUCGGAGCUGCUGUUCCCGACAGAGGCAGAGACGAAGAACGGGUUUCUCAGCAACGAAGAAGGCGUCCACGGAGAUGGUGUCGAGGUGGAAGGCACGAUGAUGCUACCGGUGGUGAGGGAGACGAUGUCGACCCGCUCACAGCGAUGUUGAAUGUGACGAGAAGAAGGAGGAGGACGACGACGAGAUCUGCACAAAUCGCUGCGGCCCUCUUGCUCUUGGCGCCGGCCAAGGCGGCGGCAGAGGAGGAGGAGGACGACGAGAGCAACGACUAGCGGGCCGUUUUUUUGUGAGAAUGAGGCGAGGCUUCUUGGGGGCGAAGGUGGAGGCGGAGGAGCCGGCGCCAAGGUUGGCGGUGGUGGUGAGCUGCUGGCGCUCGCGGCGGCGGGCGGCGGGCGGCGGGACCCAAGUUAGGAGAGAGAGGAUAAGUUGGGAGAGAAAGAAAGGAUAAAUUAAGGAAAUGGUUUAAUAAGGUAGGGGUAAAAUAGGUAUUUUAAUUAGGUUUUAACUCUGGUAUACAUUUAAUCCAUGUUUAACCCGAGUUAAACUAAUAGGGGAUAACUGCGGAGGUAUUUUGGAAUAACGGUAGAACAUAUGAGGGGCAUUUUAGAAAGAAAAAAAAAAAUAGAGGUAGAUCGAAUAUUUCCAGACGCAUGAGGGAUAUAUAGGCAAUUAUCCCUAUUUAUAAAUGUGUUUGAGCGUGACAAAAACUUAAAGGAAGAAAGAAUGUGGUACCCUAAGGAUUCGAAAUAAUCAUAUAUAUAGGAUAUAAUAUUAUUAAAUAUCUCAAUCCGGCUAUAACAUUACGAGCGGUGAGGUUAAGAGGGUUAAAUUAUUAGAACUAAAAUAGUUCUAAAAUAGAUGACCAUCUUGAAAAGCGAGAUUAUCACACAUAUUAGUCAUCUACAUGGACGUGUCCUAGUACUGACUUUCAUGGGAGGGAUACUUUUAGAUUUAAGCCUAGGCCCAUGACCUAUAUCUGCUUGGUGAUUUCAGUUUUGGAACUCUGACUCGACGAUAGUUUUGCCAUGCGACUAAUUUAAAAAUUAAGUUUGUUGAGAAAAAAUGAAUGUUUGUAGUGGGUAGCGGAUCUGAAACCUGUUAUGAAUUUGCUUUUUCGUUUUGCCCGCGACAGAUUGAUUGUACUCUAAACUUUGUAAUCUUUUUUUUUGCUCGAUAGUGAAGCUCUCUUUAUUCGCCUGUGACUUUUUUUUGUAAAGAAUCUUAUAUAAAUCUGUGUGUUCUUUUAUUUUCUGUUUAUGAUUUGUCUACUUUGUGUACGGCAUGUUCGUUUCUGUUUGUACGUUUGUCAUAGCACACUCCGAUAACAGUAAUCGAUGUACUCUAACCCUAAAAAAAUAACUAGAUUUGGAUGAAAAUUUAGUUUGAAAAAUUAGAUCUAUUUAUACAAAUUAUUUUGUUCGGAAUAAAGUCUGAGUCGGAUCCUAAUAAUAAAAAAAAAAUCAGACAAACUUGAUCAACAACCCAAUUUUCCAAUAAUACAUUAAAUAGUAAAACGAGAUUAUAUUAUAUUAUUUUGAGAAGAUCAAUGCGGCGUUUCUUUGAUUAUGAUAUUUUUAUUUUGAAUGCAUGAAUUUUGUUCUUACUUUUGUCGAUCUCGUCGCUCAUUCCUUCGUGUCCAAGACAAGUAAUUUAGACUAUUCAAACACUUAACACGCUUAUACAAAGAAUUCUCCGUCCCCAUACCUUUUGUCACCUAUAAAAAGGGCCCAAUUAUAACUAAUUUGUCACGUAUCAUACAUAACAUAUCAUGUGCAUAGAGUGUUGAUUAAAAGGAAGCAAUCAUAUAACCAUGUUUUGGAGUGUGGUUCUGUUAUUAGGGUCUGCAGUGGCUGCAGGUUUUGUGGUGGUGUUCCUGAGAUUGUUGAAUUGGGCGUGGCUGCGGCCGCGGCGCCUCGAUCGCGCCCUGCGGGCUCAGGGCCUCAAGGGCACGACGUAUCGGUUCGUCUAUGGCGACGGUGCCCGCAUGGAGCAGCUCCGCAAAGAGCGCGAGGCGAAGCCCCUCCCGGAUCUAACCCACGAUAUAAUCCCGCGCAUCGCACCGCUGUUUCAAGAAGCCAUGAGGGAAUAUGGUACAUAGUUUUCUUCGGUUUUGCACGGUUUUGCAGAUUGUUGUUGUUCGUAUUUUGUUGCAUGCGUACAUAUUUUUAUAAACUUUUCGAUUCAUACUGCUUUGAGAUUUGUGGGGCUUUAUAGGUUUUUUGGAUUGUACUGGUUUGAAAUUCUUCGGCGGCUUCUUUGUUAAGCUAUAAGGAAAAGUUUAAUUGGAGUUUUGGACUUAAUUUCCCUUGUUAAUAUAUGUUUCAUGCACCUCAAAUGUAAAGUUUGAAUGUAUAAAUGCCUUAACACACCAUUUCAUUUUUUAAUUGUAGCCGUAACUGCAUGGUAAUUAUAACCGAAUGCAAAUUCAAAUUUGAUGUCGGAUUUAAUAAAUUUGGAUUCUGCUGAAGCUGUUUAAAUUACGCCCAAUUGAUCGCAGUUUCAACCCUAGCAAUAACUUUUACCAAAAUACAAGCUUAACUACAUCCCAAUAACCUUUUAAAUAUAAAAUUCUUAUUUUUUCUUUAUAGAGCAUAAUAUCAUCAUCCUAUAAAUAAAUCGAUAAAAUUAUAUAAAUGUAUUUCUCAACCGCAUACAGCUACACAAAUUAUUUAUAGUUAUAUUAUUUUCUACUAUAUACAAUCAAAUAAGAUAUAUAAAAUUAUAAUUAUUGUAUUUUCAAUUACAUUUACAAUUACAUCUAGCUAAACAGGUAAAUAAUUUUACUAAUAACUGAUUUUUUUUUUAUGUUUUUAAAUAAGGUAAAAUGUCAUUCGUUUGGCUUGGAACCCAUCCAGCUGUGACCAUAAUGGACCCAGAUUUGGUCAAGGAGGUUUUAUCAACCAAGUUUGGACACUUCCAGAAACACAAACCUGACUCACUAUCAAGGGUUGUGGUCACUGGUCUUUUACUUCAUGAAGGUGAGAAAUGGGCCAAUCACAGGAGAAUCAUCAACCCAGCUUUCCACACGGAGAAACUAAAGGUAAAUAUUUUGUGGUACUUUUAAAAGCAUCAAGAACUUGAUGCACAUAAGUUUUCUGCCGGUAGACCUAUUCUUUUAAUAAUUUCCACACGUUAGAUCAUGAUAUUCAACGAAUCACCUACUCAACCCUAUAAGUCCACCAUCAUCCUAACUGUACAUCUCUUAAUCUAAGGGCUAAAAAUCUACCAGUACCAAUGACUUGAUAUUUUUAGAAGUAUAGAAGUUCAAUUUAAUCUAAUCACUUCCUUCAAUAUCCCAAGCCUAGUUUUGCUUUAGUUUAACGUAAAAAUAAAUUGUUGGAACUGUUGGCUUAAAUGGAUCAGCAUCCUGCCCUGUGGCGGGAGGCCAUGUGGGCCGAGUCAUGUUCGAAAUGGCGUGAGGCUGGGUUGGGCCGAGUCAUGUUAGAAGUGGCGUGAGACCAGGUGGGCCGAAUCACAAUCGAGACCCGUGGGCGUUGUUUCUGUACGCUUUAAGUGAAUUGGUUGCGUAUUUCUAACAGCUCGAGCUUUUGGGAUUAAUGGUUAGCACCAACGAUCCGACAGGAACGUGCUCACUUUGAUGCUUUAGAAAGUUGGAAAUGUUCAAAGUUACAUUUUGGACUAAGGAUUUGGACCGGUUGGUAUAAAUAUCCCAAAUUCUAUCAGAACCCGAAUUCGAACAGAAUGAAUUUAUCUGACGCUAAACAGAACCCACCGGAUUUAGAUUUGAGUAUAGAUUUUAUUUGUAUCCUUACCCAAAUAAAUUUUAUAUUAUAUAAUUAUAUAUACGAAUGUUGUUAUAUUUGAAUUUGUAUUUUAAAAAACUAAAUUUUUAUAUAUAAUAUAUUUUGAAAUAUGGUAAAAAAAAGGUUUUCGAGAUCGAAUUUGGGUUUUCGGCUUUUGGUCGCUCAAAAUUCAUCAAAUUCGGAUUCGGAUUCAAAUUUUGGAUUUGGCUGUCUGAUUCGGUUUCGGGUUUUUAAAAAUUUACUACAAAUCCCUGCUUUGGACCAUUGGACUUGUAGCCUUUUCCAAUCUCCUAAAGUAUCACAAUUUUUGUUAGCGUAUAUAGGCAAUUCUUUUAUUUUAUUUUUAUAUUCAAAAGUCAAUUUUAAUGCAUGUGGUCCAAAAUUUUUAAAUAAUUAUUUUAUAAUAUUUAAUAUGGUAUCAAAAUUUAAGACAAUCUAUAUGUUGGAUCUAUCAAAAAAAUUUUAAACUCCGACAUAAACGAGAGUAUAAAUAUUAAAAAAAAAUUAUUCUCUAACACCUUUUAUUUUUUUUGGAAAUAAAGGAUUGUCUUAUAGUAUUUAACACACGCUCUUAAGAUACACAAAUUAUUUUGUACACCACAUUACACAUACUAAUAUACAUUAGCGAAUAUUACAAAUACCAAAACUUCACUUUCAUAUUUUCUAAUAUUCAAAUAUCAAUUUCAGAAUAUGCUAUGCAGUUUGUUGAAUAUAAAUAUUAAAAAUAUUAUUUUUUUAGUAGUUUAAGCUUUUGACUAACAAUAUUUAUUUCAUAUUAAUUUAACAUAGUAUGAAAGUAGAAGAUUCCGAAUUUGAGUUCCGUUAUAUUACUUGUUUAUUUAAUUUUUAUCGUUUAAUUUUAAUUCACGCUGUGCACCUAUUAAAAUGGUCUCCAAACAAUUGUUUCAUAUUAAUUUAACACGGUCCCUCAUGUCUCGUAUUCUCUUUUUAUUUUCAUUCUUUUUUGUUGACAUAUAUGGGUUAUGUAUAUGUAUAGUGCAUGUUACCGGCGUUUUCUGAGUGUUGCGACGAAUUGAUCGAGAGGUGGGAGAAGCUUUUUGUUGCCGGAGGUAGUGGUGACGGUGAUGGUGAAGUGUCGCUGCAUCGGGAGGUGGACGUGUGGCCAGAAUUUCAAACGUUCACCGGCGAUGCCAUCUCCCGGACGGCGUUCGGGAGCAGCUUCGAGGAAGGGCGGCGCAUCUUCCAGCUCCAGAACGAGCUGGGCGAGAUCGUCGUCGACGUGGCGCAACGUGUACACCUUCCUGGAUACAGGUAUGUGAAUACAUAUUGUCCUAUUUGAAUGCAUAAAUAUCUUAUUUCGUAUAUUUUCUUAAUUUGUUUAGAUUAUGUUUGGAUAUCAGAAUAAGUUAUUUAAAGAUAACGUAUUCGAUCCAUAAGAAAUUCUUUCAGUAUGACUGUGGGUAAGGAGUUUGAUUUUUAUUUUUGUUUUAAAUUUUCCUAUUUAUAAUUCGAUAGAAUAAUAUAUUUUAUUUCUGAAAUAAUUUAUAUUAUUCUGAAAAAAAUAUACUUGAAAUCUAAGUAUAGUAUUUUAUUCUAAACAUUUGAUUACACUCUUUAUCAAUUAAAUAUAUAAAUUUUUUAAGCAAAUUAUAGGAAUGUAUAGAAACAAGAUAGAAUAUACAUAAAAAAACAAGGCCUCUUAUUCGAUAUAUCUUUUUAAUGUACUCAAAAAAUAUAUAGUUUUUUAUAGAUGAAGAGUGUGAUCGAAUACUUAGAAUAGAUAUUAUAUUCAAACUUAAAGUUUAUUUUUUGAAAUAAAAUAAAUUAUUUUUUAGAUAAAAUAUGUUAUUCUAUCAAAUCAGAGAUCCUAAGGUUUUUCAAUGAACAAAAUCUAAAUAACUAAAUUCCAAUCACAUAAUAGUGGAUUAAAAUAAUUAUGAUUAAAUGUCUAGAAUGAAAUAUAAUAUAUUUAUUGGAAUAAGAUAAAUAAUUUUAUAGAUGAAAUAUAUUAUCCUACUAAACUAUAAAUAUUAAGAUAUUUAGAGUAACAAAACUCAAGCCUCAUAAGUAUAAUUAUACUAGAAAAUUUUUGGGUUAUUUGCAUACACGUCCUUCCAAACAUAGUAAAUUGCGGAUAUAUCCCUGCAAAUUGGAAACUCCAUAAGUUAUCCCUGCAAAAGUCCUAAGUUAUGCAGAUAUGUCCCUACCGUCCAGAUCUGCUAGAAAAUUUUCAUUAACCACGGUUAAAAUGCUUAACUAUGGUUAAGUGUAGUGUAAAUUGACGUAUUUACCCUUCUUCCUCUUCCUCCUCUUCCUCUUCCUCUUCCUCGUCGCCGGCGAGGAGAUGCGGUGGCGACGGCGGCAAUGGUGGCGAACCCUCUUCCUUUUCCUCUUCCAUCUUCCUCUUUUUCCUUCUUCUUCCUUCUUCCUUCGUUUUCUUCCCUCUUCUUCGUCACCGGCGAGGGAGAAGAAUCUCGUCGAGGUCGGUCUCGGAGGAAAGGCGGGCGAGUUUCUGGACGAGAAGCUCGAGGGCGUUGUUGUCGACGAGGGCGGCGACGAGGGCAUGUGCGGGGUCGUCGUGGUCACCGAGGACGUCGGCGUCGGUGAGGUCGGUGGGGAGGGAGACGACGUCGCCGGCGAUGUCGACGAUGUCGUGGCCGAGAAGGCCGACGAGGGAGGGGACGCCGUUGAGGGCGACGAGCUCCGGGUAGAGCUCCGGUGCUCGGCGUUCUUCCCUCUUCUUCGUCGCCGGCGAACCUGACCCAGCGCCGCCGCCGCCGUCGUCUGCUUCGACGGUCCGAAAAGGAAAAGAAAGAGAAGGGAAAGAGGAAAACUUUUGGAGGGAUAUAUUUGUGAUUGUAAAAUGGUCAUUUCACGACUUCGCUGUUAAAAAACAAACAGCUCACUAACAGAUGUUAACUGCAGGGACAUAUCUGCAUAACUUGGGACUUUUACAGGAACAACUUAUGGAGUUUCGAUUUUGCAGGGAUAUAUCCGCAAUUGGCUAUGUUUGCAGGGAGCUGUAUGCAUUUGACCCAAAAUUUUUAGACAAAUACUCCUGGGUAACUUAUUCUGAUGUCUAAACAAAGCCUUAACUGCCGCUUGGUUAGAUGCAUUUAUACAUGCAGACUCAUCUAAAAUCACUAGCAUGCAUUCUUUAUCGUUCCUGUACGGAUUGAGUAGUAUUAAUCAUUUUAAAUUGAUGAAACAUGAAUCGAUGUAGUUUAUUAUAAAAUUUUGAAGUUUAGAGGGUAAAUAUAAUAGUUUAAACCAUAUAUAAUUUCCUCUUUAGAUCAAUUUAAAGCUAAAAAACGUUACUCUUUCAUUGACACAGGUACCUGCCCACAAAAACGAAUAAGCGGAUGGACAAAAUACUUGCAGAGAUUGAUGUGCUGAUGAGGGGAAUGAUUGAGCAAAGAGAGGAGGCCAUCAGAAAAGGAGGGUCCAGGAACACUGACUUGUUGGCCUUACUACUGGAGUCGAAUUUGAAGGAGAGUGCAGAGCAGGGAGGAUCCGAAACCGCGAUGACGACGGAGGACGUGAUCGGGGAAUGCCGGCUGUUCUACUUCGCCGGGCACGAGACGACGGCGGUCCUUCUGACGUGGACGCUGGUCGCGCUGAGCAUGCACCCGGCUUGGCAGGCGCAGGCUAGGGAGGAGGUGUUACGAGUGUUCGGCAGGAGUAAGCCUGACUACAGCGGCUUAAGUCGGCUCAAGAUUGUGAGUAUCCAAAUUCGCGCAUUCCUCUUGAGCACCCACUUGUUGGCUUGAAAGGCCAGCAUCCUAGCUACCUCGUGGCUACAAAUUAGGUUGGGUCAAGUUAUAUUCGAAAUGACGGGAGAUCAAAUUAAACCGAAUUAUAAUCCAAACACGUAGAUGCAGAGUCUGGACGUUUUAAAUCAAUUGGUUCCAUCUAUCUAACAUCUCGAUUAUUUGAAACUAAUAGUUCACACAAAUAAUCCUAUAAGUAGUAUCAAAGUCAGAGGUCACGAAUUCGAUUUUCGCAUACUGCAAUUAAAUUUGUACAAAUAUUCAGAGAAGAUUGUUGGCUUAAAAAGACUAGCAUCCCAGCAUGCUGCCGCGUGAUAGAACCGGUAGGCGUUCUAUAACCUUCGUCUAGUAUUUUGCAAUUUACACUGAGCUAUGAGGUGAUAAAUUUAUAAAUUGCGGCAUAGGACACAGGGUUUCUGAACAUUUACACUAUGAAUCGUUUGGCGAAACUUGAUACUGAAACUUGAAAUAACAAGUUAGAAUGCUGACACAGAAACAACAUUCUACUGCAGGUGACAAUGGUUAUAUACGAAGUCCUUCGCCUCUAUCCUCCUGCGACUAUGAUCGCGCGGGAAACAUACAAGGAGAUGAAGCUAGGAGAUGUCACCUACCCGCCGGGCGUAGAACUCAUUCUGCCCAUAGUGUUCAUCCACCACGAUCCCGAAUUCUGGGGCCCCGACGCUGGGGAAUUCAACCCCGAGAGGUUCGCUGAGGGAAUAUCCAAAGCGUCGAGGGUUCCGGGCGCCUUCAUCCCCUUCAGCGGCGGACCGCGGGUGUGCAUUGGCCAAAACUUCGCCAUGCUCGAAGCGAAGCUGUGCCUCGCGAGGAUUCUGCAGCAUUUCUCGUUCGAGCUUUCGCCUUCAUAUGCUCAUGCUCCUUACAAUGUCCUAACCCUCCACCCCCAGUAUGGUGCUCCAAUCAUCAUGCAGAGGCUAUAGAAUGAUCUUUUAAAUGUUAUGCGUAAGAGGAUGUUUGAGGAGUAUUAUGUUCCCAUGCAGUUAUUAUAUUUAUUGUAUGUACUCUCAUGUAAUAGAAUAAAUUGGUUUCUGAUUAGUAAUGAAAUAAAAGAAGUAUCUAAAUUGAGAUGAGGCGAUGGUUUUAGUUUUCAUCUGGAACCACAAAUUUGAGCCUAAAUUAAGAGAAGUUGAGAUAAUUAAAUGCAGUAGUGUAUCUAAACUAUGGAUAAAAAAUCACACUUUAAAAGCUUAUAAAAGAUAUUUGGGGACUCAAGAGAGAAAAACAAAACACACACACACAAAGAGAAAAGAUGAUGUUUCAAAUUGAUAGUGAUCGUCUCUUAAGACUUUCUCUAAGCAACUCAAUAAUGAGAACACUCAAAAGAAACAAACAAAACUAUUUCCAAAAAAAUAAAUAAAUAAAUAAAUAAAAAUCCAAGAAAACAGCGCAAAAACAAAAUGAUACACGAUUAUUGAAACCUGCUAAGAAUAGUAGUAACAAGCAACUAUAUGAAGAAAAAUAUAGGCAACAUAAAAAGAGUGCGCGAUUCUUAUAGUUGAACUACUCAUACUGUAAUUCCUGCAAUCUCAUUAACAUAAUUCACCGAAAACAAGAAGAUCAAACCGGAAAGUUUCACACAAGAAGUUAUUUAUAAUGCCUGGGUGAUGUAUCUUUCGAAUUUGGAAAUAGGUAGUGGAGAGUACAUUUACAGGCUACAUCCAGUUUUUCUGUAAAUGUAACUGUAACAGUAAAUGUUGAACGCCAAAUAAACUCUGACAGACCUACGUAUAUCUUCCCCCNNNNNNNNNNNNNNNUCUCUCUCUCUCUCUCUCUCUCUCUCUCUCUCUAGUUAAGUUCUUGUGCAUUAAUUCGAAAAUACAGAGGCAUUCGUGCUUGUAAAGUAUAUUUGAUAAUGAGAAAUCAAAUUUGACGAUCAAUUCCGUUAGACAUAAUUUAUAAUGUUGGAACUAUCUAGAAAAACAAAAUUUUAUAAUUUUUUUGAUUUCAUUUGUCUAGUAAAUAAGUAGUCUUAAAAUGAACAGUUGAAAAUAAAAAAAAUAUAUAAAAAUAGUUAUAACUCAAAUUUCAAAUCGAAAGUAUUGAUCUUGCUAUUAAUAUUAGGUAGAAUUUUAUAUUAAAGCUUAUAUGAUUUGAAUUGUUUCAUACCUUGAAGUUACAAACGUGCCACAUCAGUCGUUAAAUUAGUCAUUUCUGAAACUCUUUGAUCACUUGGUAAUAAUGUCGAAAAAUUAUGAAAUUUAAUUCUAAAUAAUUCUAUUAACGUGGAUCAUACCUAACGAACCCGAUCAUCGAAUUAAACGUCCUAUCAUCGAAAACAACUUAUAAAUAUUGAAGUCUUCUUACUUUGGAAAGCACAAAAAAUGUACUAUAUAUAUAGUGUGGAGCUACUAUACCUUGAGAAGUAUAAAGGAGUUGGUGCUUCCAACUUUUUGACUCUUGGAUCAAAAAUUGUAGGGUUAAAAUGAUAGUGGUCACGCCUAAGAUUGAGUGAUCCACUUAGAGUUGAGUGGUCCCCUGAGAUAAUAAUAUUAAUUCAAAGAUUAGAAUUGGUCGAAGGGGUCGAUCUAAGGAUUAUAAAAUAGGAAGCACCACAUGAGUGAUGCUUUAUAGUCGGAAUAUAUAUAUAUAUAUAAUUAGACUGGAAUGCUUCUAAUAGCACUAAAUUAUUGGUGCGAUUAGAUUUUCGGACUUUGAAUGAAGGAAUGUGUGAUUAGGAUGAUAGUGGUCUUCUAUAGUUGAGUAGGUAGUUAAAUAGUAUAAUCUAACGGAUGAAAAUAGUCAAAGAAGUAAAUUUAAUGGUGGAAAACUUGGUAGCAUUAAGUGCUUGGUGCUAUUAGAAAUACUCCACUCGGAAGCACUCCAGCCAAACACACUCUCUCUCUCUCUCUCUCUCUCUCUCUCUCUCUCUCUCUCUAUAUAUAUAUAUAUAUAUGCCUGGCUACUAUACUAUCGGCAAUACGGAAGCUUCCAUGUUACCAUAUUGUUUUUAAUGAUGCGGCUUCCAUAUCGAUUGUUGGCUUAGUUAGACUUAAUUUACACUAUUAAAAGCAUUUAUAAAUCAAAUUUUAUAAUUUUUCGACAUCAUUUAUCUAUCAAACGAGUAGUCUAAAAAUGAAUGACUGAAAAUAAAAAUCUCGUAAGAUGAUAAAAAAAUUUGAAUUUAAGAUCAGAGAUACUAAUCUUUCUCUAAAUUGUGAAAAAAGUUUCGACAAAAAAUUUACUGAAUUUGGAUUAUUUUACACUAUUAAAUUUACAAUCGUAUCACAUCGGCUAUUAAAAUUAUCAAUUUUAAGACUAUUUGAUCACUAGUCAAAUAAUGUCAAAAAAAUAUAAAAUGUAGUUUCCAAGUAUUUCUAAUAACGUAAAUCAUAUCUAAUAAAAUCAAUCGUCGAUUUGAAAGUCGUAUUAUUAAAAAUAACUUAGUAGUAUGAAGGUUGAUCUCCGUGCUACCAGUAAUAUAUAUAGUUGCUGUGUUCAUGUAUACACACAUACGUAGGAAUUAAAUGAAUAUGAAGCUUUAAAGAGAGAAAAAAAAACAUUUUGAGAGAGAUAGGUAGCACGCUACUCGCUUCGUUUAUUUCAUUUAGAAAUAAAUUUAGCUGGAAAUGUGAAUCAACUAGGAUUCGAACUUGGGUCUCGGGUACCAACCACCAAGCCUUUUGCGACUUGCUCUAUGGACGGUCGGUAAAAAAAAAAAGAAAAAAAAAAAACAUUUUAUGGUUAAGAAAUGAUGUUCUUCUGAGCUUUAUAUGCAUCCUUUGUAGGAAUAGUUUUUUUUUUUUUUUUUUUUUUUUUUUUUUUUUUUUUUUUCACUCUCUCUUCCCUUUCUUACUUUUGUCUUUAUAUCUUAGCUGAUUCCUUACCGUUCAACACAUCUUAUGGAGGAAGUGACGAGGAAAGUUUAGACAGAGGAAAAAAAAAAAAAAGGAAAAAAUAUUUUUUCCUUUUUUUUUUUAUUUUUUUACUUUUGUCCUUACCGUUCAAGGCGUCUUAUUUAGAACAUUCAAACACUUAACACGGUUGUACAAAGAAUUUUCAAAACCAACCCUUAAUUUCCAUUCCACUUUGUCGUAUCAUUUCUCUUCUCAUAUACUUUGCUAUAAAAAGCGCCCAAUUGUGCCUAAGGCAUAGUGUAUUAUAACAAAGUAAGCAAGUAACAAUGUUUUGGAGUGUAGUUUUAUUAGGCUUUGUUGCAGUAGCUGCAGGUUUUGUGGUGGUGUUCCUGAGACUGUUGAAUUGGCUGUGGCUGCGGCCGCGGAGGCUCGAUCGCGCCCUUCGGGCCCAGGGGCUCAGGGGCACGACGUACCGGCCCAUCUAUGGCGACGCCAGCCGCAUGGAGCAGCUCCGGAAAGAGCGCCAAGCGAAGCCCCUUCCACCGUCCCACGAUAUAAUCCCGCGCGUCGCGCCGCUGUUUCAAGAAGCCAUGAGGGAACAUGGUACAUAGUUUUUCUUCGGUUUUGCAGUUCCUUGUUGAUCGGUUUUUGUUGCAUAUAUACUUUUAUAUAGAUUUUUCAAUUCAUACUCUUCUCUUUGACUCGUGCAUCUUAUUUUAAAUUCUCCUACAGCUCUAUAGUUUUUUGAGUUCGAUCAUGUCCCUUGCUAAUAUCGACUUACUAUAUAUACUUCAAAAGCAAAAUAUUUGAUUGCAUGCAUAUACCUUUCAUAAAUUGUAUAAAUAAACUUCUCAAUGCAUGGCACACAACAAAGCAAAUUAUUUAUACUUACAGUGUUUUUUAACUAUAUAUAUAUAAUAAUUGCUGCAUUUUUUAUUGCAUUUACAAUUACAUUCAACCAAACAGUUUCUCAGAAUAAAUAAUUUUGCCAAAUAAUUGAUUUUUUUUGUUUUUUUUAAAUAAGGUAAAAUAUCAUUCAUUUGGCUUGGACCCCAACCAGCAGUGACCAUAAUGGACCCAGAUUUGGUCAAGGAGGUUUUGUCAACCAAGUUUGGGCACUUUCAGAAACACGAGCCUGACUCAGUAGAAAGGCUUGUGAUCACAGGGCUUUUACUUCAUGAAGGUGAGAAAUGGGCCAAUCACAGGAGAAUCAUCAACCCUGCUUUCCACUUGGAGAAACUAAAGGUAACUAAGAUCACUUCUCUUCCUUCAAAUCCCAACCCUAGUUUUUUGCUUUAGUUUAAGGGGAUAAUAAGUUAUCCAUGCUUUAGAAAGCUGGAAAAGUUCGACCCUACACUUUGGGCUAGGGAUGUCGAUGGAUACAGAUAUCCAAAAUUUCAUUUGAAUUCAAAUUCAAACAUAACGAGUUUAUUCGAUACUAAACGAAUAUAGUUUCGGAUAUGGUUAUAAAAAAAUAAAAAUCUGACAUAUUUAGAUUCGGAUAUAAAUUUUAUUUUAAUCUACAAGUCUAAAAUAAUAGAUUAUUAAAUUUGUAGAUUAAAGCAUCGCCGCUCCAAAUUCAAGAAGAUUAAAACAAAGAAAUGAGUAAAACUACGAUGGGAGAUUGUGGUGCCCACUUUCAAGGGAGUCUCCUAUUCUAUAACUACUUUAGUCCCUGCACGUUUGGCAAUCUUAACCUCUUAAGUUUAGUCACUGCAAAAAAUACUAUUGUCGGGUUAAGAUAUUUAGUCAUAUUAUAUUUCACAUAUAAUACUAUAUAUUUUAAAUCUUGGGGGUGUCACAAUUCUUUCCUCUUUAAGUCCUGACAUGUUUCUGAAGUUCAAGCAUAUUCACAAGCAACAAGCAAUAUAAAACUCAUCUUGCUAGUCUUUAGCUGACCUUGCAGAGAGCCACGCUACACCCAUAAUAGUCAUAAGUCGAGAAGCCGUGCCUUACUCACUGUAUAACCUUGGCUCCACCGAAAUUCAUCUUGUAUUUUCGACUAGUGCUUGAUUCUGAUACAAAUUGUGACAUCCCGCUUUUCAGAGGAUCACCCAUUUUAGAACUGCUCUAAUCCCAGCAUACUUAAUCCUCUUAAUUUCUUGGACCUAGUAACAAUCCAAAAUGUUAUAGAGAAAUUAAGAAAUUUAUUUCUAUUAUAUUUCAUAUACAAGGCUAUUUUAAAUCUUGCUGGUGUCGCAUGCACUCACCCAUCAGCCUAAUAUAUAUAUUUACAUUUUCCUUUUUCUCUUUUUUACAUUGACCAAAAUACUCGCCAUCAAUUAACCAAUAGUUUCUAUCCUAUCCGAAUUCGAAUAAAUUUUAUAUUAUAUAAUAUAUAAGAAUGUUUGAUGUUAUAUUUCAAUUAAUAAAUAUUAAUAUAAUAAGUUUUAAAAUGUGGUAAGGAAAAAUGAUUGCUUGCAGAUUCAGGUUUUCGGGAUCGAAUUCGAAUUUUGAAUUUUUGGUCAGAUUUGAUUUUAAAUAUAAAUUUUUAAAAUCUGCCGUACUCCAAAAUUUGAAUUUGCAUUUUAAUUUGAUUGCCAGUUUCAAAUUCAAGUUUUUAAAAAUUUGCUACGAAUUCGAUCCAUUGACAUCCCUGGAGGCGACCUUUCCAUUCUUCCGAUCCCUUGAAAUAGUGAUGUUUUUAUGGCCUAUCAAAAAGUUUCAAACUCAGAUAGAAAACGAGAGUAUUGAACAUAAAUAUUAAAAAAAACAUCAUGCAUCUAAUACGUUCUGUUUUUUGAAAAAACGAUCCCCUUAUAUUAUUUAACACACGCUUAUAAUAUAUAUGCACAGAUUAAUUUGUACAGUACGGACUAAAACACAUUAGUGAAUAUUAUAAAUUCCGAAAUUUUACUUUCUUUUUUUAAUAUUCAAAUAUCAAUUUCAAAAAUAUAUGUUAUACGGCCAUUGGAUAUAAAUAUUAAUAAUAUUAUUUUUUUUAAUAGCUUAAGUUUUUGGAGAUCAAAGUCUAUUUCAUAUUAAUUUAAUAUGGCACCAGAAUAGAAGAUUAUAAGUUUGAGUUCCAUCAGAUUUCUAACUUUAUUUAAUUUUCUUCCAUUUAAAUUCAAAUUUACGUCAUGUACAGUGCAUGUUACCGGCGUUUUCUGCAUGCUGCGACGAAUUGAUCGAGAGAUGGGAGAAGCUUUUUACUGCAGAAGGAGGUGACGGUGAAAUGUCGCUGCAUCGGGAGGUGGACGUGUGGCCCGAAUUUCAAAGUUUCACCGGCGACGUCAUCUCCCGCACGGCGUUUGGGAGCAGCCUCGAGCAAGGGCGGCGCAUCUUCCAGCUCCAGAACGAGAUAGGCGAGAUUGUAUCCCAUAGGCACUUUCCUGGAUACAGGUAUGCGUACAUUACGACUCUAUUUGGAUGCAUGAAUAAUUUAUUUAGCAAAUUCUUUUAAUUGAUUUAAUUCUGUUUGAAUGUCAUAAUAAAUUAUUCAAAGAUAAUGUAUUUCGUGUAAAACUGUUUUAGUAUGAUGGUAGGUAAGAAGGUUUUUUUUUUUUUUUUUUUUUUUUGGUUCUUCAAAUAUUUUGCUAUCUAUGGUAUCUAUGGUUUAAAAGGACAACAUAAUUCAUCCACAAAAUAGUAUAUCUUAUUAUGCAAAAAUAACUUAAAAUUUAAAAAUAAUAUUUCAUUCUAAAUAUUUCAUCAAACUCUUUACCAAUAAAACACAUAAAUUUUUCGAGUAAAUCAAAUAGAUAUACCGAACAAGAUUGUCAUACAUCCAAACAGGGCCUUUUAUUUGAUAAAUUUUUUUGAUUCACUCAAAGAAUAUGUCAUAUUUGAUAGAUUUGGAGUGUGAUCGAAUAUUUAGAAUAGAUAUUAUAUUCAACCUUAAAGUUUAUUUUUCAAAAUAAAAUUAAUUAUCUUUAGAUAAAAUAUACUAUUAUACCAAAUUAUGGAUCCAAAGACUUUUCAAGGAACAAAAAAGCCAAACAACUAAAUUCCAAUCACACAAGAAAAUUUUUAUAGGAAAUGAGUUAUCAUUGAAUAUCUUACUCCAAAACCUAAACAAAGCCUUAAUAAAUCUAUAUAUUUAGUGCAUUAAAAUUAUGAUCAAAUAUUUAGAAUGAAAUAUAGCACAUUUUUUUGGAAUACGACAAAUAAACUUACAGAUGAAAUAUAUUAUUCUUGCAAAUUAUGAAUAUCAUGACAUUUAGAGGAACAAAAAUCAAACCUCAUACUUAUUAUAAUCAUACUAAAAAGUUUUCAUAAAGAUACUUUUGAAUAGCUUAUUCUGACAUCUAAAUAAAGGUUUAAAUUUGGUUGGAUAUAUUUAUAUAUGCAGCACAACACUUAAAGAUGUAUAAAGUUAAAGGGUUAAAUGCAUCAAACUCAACCAAACUAUCCUCUGUUUACACUUAGCAUCCUAAACUUUCAAAAUUUAUAUCUUUCACCUGAGCUGUUAAAAUUUACAAUUGACCAACUAAGUUUAUAUUUUAAUAAUUUAAAGUGAUUAAAUUUAGUCAAAUGCUUAAAAUAUAAUAAAAGAUAAAUGCUUAAGAAUGAUAAAGGAUAAAUGCUGGCAAUAGAAAAGAAACUUUCUUAUGUCAAAAUUCAGUUUCUUGCAGUAUAAAAUUAAUAUUUAGUAUUUGAGUUUUACAAAUUAAAUGUAAUAAUUAUGGCAAAUUUCAUCCAAAUGAAGUGAAUUUUAGCAUCAAGAAGACUCAUCUAAAUCACUAGCAUGCGUUCUUUAUUGUUUCUGUACCGAUUGAGUAAUGUUAAUCACUUUAAAUUGAUAAAAUAUGAAUCUACGUAUAUAGCUAAUUUUUUAAAAAAGUUUAAAUGACUAUUUGCAAAUAAGCGAAAGNUUUUUUUUUUUUUUGGUAGCUUGAAAAUAUCUUUGUUUUUUUUCCCCAUAAAUCGGGUUAUUUUUGGGUUUGGUUCAAACUAGAAUGGUUGAACUUAAGAGCACCUGUACACCAGUAAUUAAUUGUGUGAAACCUUUUAAUUUCUUGUGGAUCAUACAAUUUAGAAUUUACUCUUAGGUAAUAUACAUGAGAAGUAAAAUUAACCUACCCAUGUUUGAUAGUAUCACAUCAAAUUCAAGUAAAUAAUAUAUUUGCAAACCAUAGGAUAGUAUAGUUUAUAUUAUAGGACAGUAAAAUGUUAUAUUGUAUUGCCAUGUGGUUUGCAAAAAAUAUCACUUUACCGACCAAUUUAAUAAUAAAGUUCUACAAUCUACAGUGUAAAAAAUAAAUAAGUAAAAUCAUAGGACAAUUAAUCAUAACCUUUUGAACCAUAAGGUGGCUUUUACACAUUGUGCUCGCGGACUUCGACUGUGAUUCGGUCCAACUCGGCCUUUGCCAUGUGCAGGAUACUAGCCUAAUUCGUUUUCUAAUUUCCUUCUUCGAUCAAUUUAAAGCAAAAAAAAUGUUACUAUUUCCUUUACACAUGCAGGUACCUUCCCACAAAAACGAACAGGCGAAUCGACAAAAUGCUUGCAGAGAUUGAUGUGCUGAUGAGGGGAAUGAUUGAGCAAAGAGAGGAGGCCAUCAGAAAAGGAGGGUCCAGGAACACUGACUUGCUGUCCUUACUACUGGAGUCGAAUUUGAAGGAGAGUGCAGAGCAGGGAGGAUCCGAAACCACGAUGACGACGGAGGACGUGAUCGGGGAAUGCCGGCUGUUCUACUUCGCCGGGCACGAGACGACGGCGGUCCUUCUGACGUGGACGAUGGUCGUGCUGAGCAUGCACCCGGCCUGGCAGGAGCGGGCCAGGGAGGAGGUGUUACGAGCGUUCGGCAAGAGUAAGCCCGACUACAGCGGCUUAAGUCGGCUCAAGAUUGUGAGUAUCCAAAUUCGCGCAUCUCUCUUGAACCGGCAAUAACAAGUUAGAAUGCUGACGCAGAAACAACAUUUUACCGCAGGUGACGAUGGUUAUAUACGAAGUUCUUCGCCUCUAUCCUCCCGUGAUUAUGAUCGCGCGGGAAACAUACAAGGAAAUGAAGCUAGGAGAUGUCACCUACCCGCCGGGCGUAGAACUCAUUCUGCCCAUAGUGUUCAUCCACCACGAUCCCGAAUUCUGGGGCCCCGACGCCGGGGAAUUCAACCCCGAGAGGUUCGCUGAGGGAAUAUCCAAAGCUUCGAGGGUUCCGGGCGCCUUCAUCCCCUUCAGCGGCGGCCCACGGGUGUGCAUCGGCCAAACCUUCGCCUUGCUGGAAGCGAAGCUGUGCCUUGCGAGGAUUCUGCAGCAUUUCUCGUUCGAGCUUUCGCCUUCGUAUGCUCAUGCUCCUUACCAAGUCAUAACUCUCCAUCCCCAGCAUGGGGCUCCAAUCAUCAUGCAUAGGUUAUAGAAUGAUCUUCUAAAUGUUAUGCGUAAGAGGAAUGUUUUAGGAAUAUUACGGUCCCAGUUCUAUUUAUUAUGUACUCUCAUGUAAUACAAUAAAUUGGUUUCUGAUUAAUGAUGAAAUAAACAGGUUCUAUAAAUUGAGAUGGGGAAAUGAUUUGUCUUCAUGUGGAACCAUAAAUCAACCAUAAAUCUGACCCUAAAUUAAGAGAAGUGUACGAUAAAUGCAGUAGCGUAUCUGAAGAUUCUGAACUAACCAAAUCAUCAUAGUGGUUAAAAAAUCACACUUCAAAAGCUGACAAAAAUAUUUGGGGAUGGAAAAAAACCACACGCACAAAAAGUGAAAAGACGAUGUUUCAAAUUGAUAGUGAUCGGCUCUUAAGACUUUCUCUAAGCAACUUAAUAAUGAGAACACUCCAAAGAAACAAACAAAAAUAUUUCCAACCGAAAGAAAAAAAAAAAAAAAAAAUCCAAGAUAACAGCGCAAAAGCAAAAGGAUACAUGUUUAUUGGAACCUCCUUAUAAUUCUAGUAACAAGCAACUACAUGAAGAAAAAAUAAAGGCAACAUAACAACACUUAUGAUGCGAUUCUUAUAGUCGAACUACUCAUACAAGAAGUUAUUUAUAAUGCCUGGGUGAUGUAUCUUUCGAAAUUGGAAAUAGAUAGUGGAGAGUAUAUUUACAGGCUACAUCUGGUUUUUUGUAACUAUAACAGUAAAUGCCGAACGAAAACUCUAACAGAGCCACAGAUUUCUCUUGCAAUUUUAGUCUUGGAAUGACUAAAAUUUUUUGACCGCAGGGGACUCGUACAAGAAAGAUAAAUGAAACAACUGUUUUGAAUUAUUUAACCUGCAUUCAGAAUGAAGGUCUUCAUGAAAUCACACCAAAUAUGCACAUCAUGCCAGCCAUGUUCGUCCCGUGCAGAUUUAAAGGCGUCUCUUCUGCUGUUCUCCAUCACACCAAACUGAUUUCUUCUCUUCCCUCAGCAUUCUUCUGUGGCUUCUUUCCCUCCAUCCGCCCCUCAGAAGUACUUCAAUGAUAAGGCACGGCUACGCCAGAAUAACGGCUUUGACUAAAAUUCACUGAUUAGUCUGUUAAUGGUCAAUACAUUCUCGACAGGCCGAACUGAACGGCACCAACCUUCCUAUGAGCGCCGGCGGCAGCAGCUGCAGCAGCUGCCGCGAUGCCAUUGUAGGGGGAUUUCGUAUAAGCAAGGCUAUGCGUCUCCGGAUCAGCCUUCGGCCCCCCCGAAAAGUAGAAAGGGGGAGCUCUCAUGUCUAAGGUUAUGUCCGCUGUUGUCCGGCUAUUAUUCAUGCAUGGUUGAGAUACUUUAUUGAUUAUGUAAUAAUCCCUCUCGGUCUCCAAGGGGUCUCUCCCAGCGCAUUCCGGCUUGCCCGUGCUCCGAUCGUAGCAGUAUGCCGGAGGCAUGUUUGGCUGGGUAGGAAUAACUGGGUUAUUCCUUAUUAAUCUCCUUGGAUCAUAGGUGUCUUUCACAGUUCCAUUUUCGUAUGGCAUUACUGAUCCAACAACUUUUCCUGGUCUCGCUGGAGAAGGGGGGGAAAAAAGAGAAAAAUUGACACAACACUAAAUGUUUAAGAUUGAGACAAAUAGAAAGAGGGUUAAAUCAAAGAUUAAAUUAAAAAAAAAAGCCCAACUUCUUAUGUCAAGUUGACUGAGUUUAAUUUCGUACAAGAACCCAGUAACAUAUAUUCCAACAAAAAUAAGGUCCAUCGAGUUUGAUUUUUUAAGACAAAAAAAUAAAAAACUUAGAAACUAAAUAAGACUUUUUAGGCGUCAUUUCUGCUGGCACUUAAUUUGAAAAGUCUUCAAACAAACUAUCAAUUGAUGCUGCAAAAUUUUUUAAUAAAACAUCAAUGGAAAUGUCCACCGAAUAGUUACUGGGUCAUUCUUUUUGUCAGCGGCCAUGAUGCAAUCGGAAAGAAGCGAGUCUUUUCGCACCAAAUUAAACUUUGUAUCCCAGUCCGCAAUUAUGAGAUAGUCGGUGGGAUUCUGAGAUUUUAAACAAACAGAAAAAAAUGCCUGUACAUAAAACAUAAAAUGGAGUACCUGUUGGAAUCCUUUGGGGUGGCUGUGAAGGUCUCGCUAUAUUUCCCGGAAACCUUUCCAUAUCCCGGGGGUUUUUGGAUGCCUCAUCGGGCAUUUGCCUAUCUCGCAAGGAACCCACGAUUGGUUGCUCCUUUGGAGGAAUUGUAGUGGAGUGAACUAUAGUAGACCUGGCAUGAGAAAUAUAGAUGAUUAUUCAGAGACGCAACGGAAAUGAAAAUAAAGGAAAGUUUCUAACUUGAAUAAAACAUUAUAUCCUGCUUUCCAGAAAUAGACUGCUGAAUUCAACAGUGAUGGAUGCUGAAUUCAACAGUGAUGGAAUAAUAAUAUAGAAUAUUAAGCAAACUAUUUAGACUAAGCAGUGCUUAGCCGAAUUUCAAACAUAACAAGAGGACAAACUCUGAUAUGCUUUCACAGCAAAGCACUGUGCUUUUUCUACACAAUAUGUUGUUGUGCAGAUAUUAAUAUAUGCCGUUCUUUUUUUUUGGAUAUUUAGCGAAAAUACACUUGUCAGGACUAGGCCACCUUCAAUUUUGUUUGUUAAGAAAAUAAGCAAGACAACAAGGCAAUAUGGAUGGAUGAUUAAGGCUCUUGACAUCACAUAACUAAGGGUGGGCAAGGUUUGGUUCUGUUCAGGUGACAAGAUAAAUUGAAACCGAACCAAUCUAAUUCGGUUUUAAAAAAUCAAAACCAAAAUGAAACCACUGGUGUGGAAAACCAAACGGAGCUAAACCAAAAAUUUCAGUUUGGUUUACAGGUUUGGUUUAUAGCUUUGAACACUUGAAUUUUUUAAGACAAUUUAUACAUCUUUUAGUUAUUUUUUAAUGUUUGCAAGAAUGAUUUUCGGGAUUAACUUGGUGUAUUAAGUGGUAGCUUGGCGUUAAAUAUUGAUAGAUACAUAUGUAUAAUUAUAUAUAUAUACUCAUACAUGCAUGCUAAUAUAUAUACAAAUAUUUAUAGAUACACAAUUGUACACCUCAGUUUUUUUUGGUUUGGGUUGGUUUUUGAAUUUCUCAAUCCACAAUCAGACCAGAAUUUUAGGUUUGGGAACUUCUAAAACCAAAACCAAACCAUUUACAACUAAAACCGAACCGAACCGAACCGAACCGAACCAAAAUUGUCAGUUUGUUUUGGGAAUUUUCAUUUCGUGCCACCUGUAUACAUGACAGAUGAUCCAUUCAUUAAUGCAUAUUUAUGCAUGCAUUCACUUCAAAGGUGCAUUUUUAUAUCAUUCAUUUUAAGAAAUAAAAAUUUUAAUCAGCAAAAUAAUAUCAUAGUCUAGAUUUAAACCUAGCAAAUGAAAACUGCAUAAGCAAGAUGUGUACUGGGAGAUUGAAAUUUGUAGGGUCAUAUACCAGAAAAGAUAGGAAGAGAAACAUGCUUCCCAUCUAAUGGAAGUUAGAUGGGAAGUUCAAAAUUUCAACUGGGCAAUGACAUAUUUUCUACUAAUAUAAAAUUAAGCAGGAUGAACUUUUAAGUAAAAUAAAAAACCAAAUACAUCACCUAGGAAGAGAAACAUGCUUCCUAUCUAAUGGAACUACAGCACCAUUUUUACCACCAUUCUCCUCGAGGUGAGCAAAUUGCUUCCUAAAUUGAUCAACAGCACUGCACAAUGACGAGUAAAAAUAUAUAUUACAUAUGAAUACUAAUGAAAAACAUGGAGGCAAAAUAGGAAAUAGAAUGAAACGUGAUAGUAACAACUCAAUACCUUGGAUAUAGGAAGUUUGUCCUCUCCGUGCCAUUAAUGUAGUCCUUUAGUAACUGUGGAUGGUAUUCCAAUAUCUCACGGAAUAUAAGUUCCUUAAUGUCCUCUUUUGUCACUCUUCUCCGCUCAAACUCAAACUCCAUUUUCGCAAUCUGCUGACAUGAUGGUUCUCUCUCAACUUUGGCCAAGCCUUUGAAAUAUGGGUCGGCCAAUGCCUGAUAAAUGAGCAUAACAUCCAUUUGAGUGGUAGCAUGGAAAAGGAUAAAUAAAUGAAAUUACUAAGAUAUUCAAAUUAAUGAUAUAGGUUUAACACAAUAGCAAUGCGUAAAAAAUAAACAUAAAAGAGGGAAACACAUCUCCAAACAACAAAUGCGUACCUCUUCAGCAGUUGGUCUGUCCUUCGGAUCAAAUGCUAAAAGCCUUUCCAACAGUUUAAGAGCUAAAGGAUCUGCAUUGGGGAACUUCUGUGAAAAUGGUAUAGGCUGUUUCUUCCUCAUGCUGCUCAAGUACCUCCGUGCCUUCUCAUUUCGGACCUGUAGUCAAUAAAGAAAGUUAUGCGAUGCUAUCAUAUUACAUUUUUCCUAGCUGGAGAGAAGAUACAUUUUCAUAAUGAAUGUUUUCAGAUUAGAUUACCGUACCCGAGAAAUUGUAUCCAAUGACGGAGUGCCUAGAAGAUCGGUCAUCAAAUCCAACUGGUGGACCACAUUUUUACCAGGAAAUAAAGGUUUACCAGUUAACACCUCGGCAAAUAUGCAACCAAUGCUCCAAAUAUCAAUAGCCGGCGUAUACUGCAAUUUUUCAGAAAUAUAUCUUUAAUAUUGUAAAUAGAGAAAACUCGUACUUGAGAAGACAACAAAUCUAACAAAAGUACAUGAAAGAAUUGAUACUUCAACCAGUUGACCAAACUGCUUUCUGAGUAAGCAUUUUCUUAAAUUACUUUUUCCUUUUUUUCAAGUCCUUGAGUGUUAAUGAAGGGACAUACAAAGCAAAUACAACUAUUCACUACCAAAUGUAAAGCUCAUAAGACAGCUAAUCAUGACAUUCAUAGUUGAUGUUUCACAGAUCUAAAAUGUAAGGCAACAUCACAAAACGACUUAUUGGUGCCACAAUAACUACCGGCCAGAUAGCUACAAGAAGAAAAUAAAGACCUGAAAAUGGCACCUAAGUCUAGCAAAUUGCACAUGCCUAAAUUUUCAGCUUUAAACAAAAGCAAGGCAGGUUUUUUGAUCCAUACAAAUUCAAAGUAGUCCUUAUGAAUUCUGUUUUAAUUUGCAUAUGUUAUCACUAAUAGUGGGUUAUAACUUAGAUUAAAAGGCAAAAAAGAACCCUGACAUUUACACGAUUAUCAUUUUUCGCCAUUGAAAAAUCUAAAUUUAACUCCCUCAAUAUGUAAUUAUUUUGUCAGUUAGUCCUCUUCCGUCACUAUUCUGUGCGCAUCAGUGUGUUCACGGCAUUAUAAAUGAUGCACGCUAAAAAGAUGAAUGUUAUGUGCUCUGAUCAUGUAUAAAAGCAUGAUAUUAAUAGUUAGUCAAACAACGAUAACAUCUGAAAGCACAGAGAAACAAGAAAGUGUAUUAUUAGGUAACCAAAAUGUACCUUUGAAAAGAAAGAUCCACACAACUCAGGAGCUCUAUACCAUCUGGUUGCAACAUAAUCCUACAAUACAUAGUAAAGCUUCAAAAUGUGAAAUUGACUAAUAAAGCACCUUUUCUUUUUAAUUGUACAGAAUGAUGUUAAAAAGAUGUGAAUAAGGUUGGCAUUGAACAAUAAGCUCAUUCUCUUGACAUACCGUCCAAAAAAUAGUCGUUGGGGUGUCGUUGAAUGCAACUCUUGCCAGUCCAAAAUCACAGAUCUUGAGUUUGCAAUUCGCAUUCGCUAAUAUGUUCUUUGGUUUCAAAUCGCGGUGAUAAACAUUAGCUGUGCUCAAAUCGAGUCAAUAUCAGCACAAAUCUCAAUGUAGAACAUAGUACAGUUAAUGUAAGUCAAUGCAUACAUACAACAGGAUGAAAAUGCGAGUCAAACUUGAGUAUUAUGAAAUUUGAAUACUAUGUGAUAACAAACUAAUAUACAAUAUUCAAAUUUGUCAAGUUUUUAGGAACUUGUGAGAUACUUAUGGGGCAAAUUAUAAUAUUCAAGUUUUCAUUAGUAAAGAUUAAACACAUGGUAAGAGAGUGCAAUAACCUGUACGUCAAAGUCUUUAGGACAAAUUGACACAUACUUAAAGAUCGAAGCAGUAAAAAAAAGAGGAAUGUUUAAACAUUUAACAUAUAAGAACAAAUUGAACAAACUAUAGCAAAGUUUUAACUGUAAAAUCUCUCAGCAAAAUUCACAUGCAGGAGUCAGUACUUAUCAAGAAUAUAGGUACAAGGAAAGUGCAAAUAAACACCAAAAGAGUAUGACUGGAAGACUACAGGAAAGAGAUGACAACUUAAACAUAAACAAGGGAGCGAAAAAGGAGGCAAAUGUGGAGAACUAACUAUUUACAAACUCAAAAAGUGACCAAGAGGCAAACAUACCUCCAUUUUUUUUUUUCCAAGGGGAAGGAGUCAAGUUCAUAAAUGUUCUAUCACCCUUGAAAGAAAAAAAGUCCUGUGACUACAAUGCCACACAAACUCUAACAUAUGCCACAUCAGACACAACUGCUAAACUCCUAAGAAAAACAUAAGAAAAUCUUUUUCCUUUCUAAAAGGGAAAGGGAGAUUGGGUCUAGACAUAAGAAAAGCACAAGGUUUGGAAUACUGAUAAACUCGAAAGAGGUAAGAGAUAGAGGGGGGAACAAUAACAUGCCAAUAUUUCCAGACAUUAUUAUUAUUAUUGACUGAUAGAGGCGAAAAACAAUAAUAUGCCAACAAUUCCAGACAUUAUUACUAUUAUUGGUGAAUAAUAAUAGCAUCGGAAUAAUAGAAUACAAGAUCUAAGAACUACAUUGAACAUGAUUAAUAGCAGAUACGGCAGAAAAUAGGACGAAGACUCAUACCUGUGUGAAUGUACUUCAAUGCUCGGAGCAGCUGGUAAAGGAAGAAUUGAUAGUGCUCCUUCGUUAAGUCAUCAUUAGCCUUGAUAACUUGGUGAAGAUCAGACUCCAUGAGCUCGAAAACAACAUAAAUAUCUUUGAAGUCCCUCCUUGAUGGAGGCAACAUAAUGUGUUUGAUUUCAACUAUGUCAGGAUGUCUUAGAAGCCUGAGAAGCUUGAUUUCACGAAGGAUCCGCGCAGCAUCAGAGAUGUGUUCAAAGAUAUCAUGUAUUUUCUUUAUUGCCACUUUUUCUCCCGUAUGUGUAUCAAUCGCCGAACACACAACUCCGUAGCUUCCCUUACCGAUGACUUCUUGAAUUUUGUAUCUAUUGGCAUCACCAUACUCAGAGAAAAAAUCCAUCUCCGGUGAAUUCUGAAAAGGGAAAAAAAAAUGACUGAUCAAUUGCAGUAAAAUUACGAAAAUCAGUAUUGAAAGGAAUUGCUCGACUAUCAGCUCAAGCUAAAUAGGACUUCAUUUGAUGAAUGAAAUCUAGAAAUAAAAAAUAAAUAAAUAAAUAAAAGAACAAGAAUUGAUGGUGACAAAUUAAAUUAUAACUACAAACCGCCAAUGCGUUUAGUGAUUAACAACGUUUUAAUCUAAUGCUUUAUCAUAGUCAAUCAACGGUGUAUGAGGGAGAAGAAAAAGUGCUAGGAACUUUUAUGGCUGCAAAGGCAGUUACUAAGCACAUAACAUAACAAGAUUGUGUUAUUACCAAUGAUAGGCCUCAGAUAAAGGAAAGAAACUGAUUUCCAUGCUGAGUUUUAUCAUUACAAUAUACUAAUUGGGAUUCUCUAAGUGAGACAUAAAGUCAGAAAGAUCUUAAAUGAACAUUGCAACACUUAAAAAUGUCACACAAAUCAAGCCAAGUAACAGAAUAAAUGUCAAAAUCAUCUUUUCUAUAGAUCCCAUUGAACUUAAUAUACACCGAGAUACCAGAUACUAUUAGGAGCAAAUAUAUAACUGCUACAACUCUGUUCGGCAGGUGAUGAAAGAACGAGUUGCAGCUCAAGCUUCAGUAAUCAACUUCACCAACAAAUGCAGAAAAUUACUUUUUUUUUUCCUAAUGAAUCACAGAAUUGUAUCAAGUAGAAGUCUCAUACACAACAGAAGCACGCAAAGACAUUCAUGUAUUCUAAAGCAAUUCCUUAUAGGCUGGUAGAUAAUUUUGUUUCCACAAUACGCAACGUGCAGAGUCUCAGAUCUGAGUCCACAAAAAUACCACCAACAUAUGCAAAUAAAAGAAAAUCCAUAGAAAUACAACUCCAAUCAGCUCCAUAAAUAUAGAAGCAUAGGAGUAGAGCAAGAAGUAAUACAAAUAAAUAAGAAUUACAAAAUUAUUUUGUUUUAUUCUAAAAAGGCAAUGCUAAAACCCACCAAUAUGAAUUGUUUACUUGUUCUGGUCCAUAAGGGAAUAAUAGAUGGACACUAUCAAUAUGAUGCAACCAUGCAAGUGGGUAAGAGAACCAGAUUCAUAGAAAACAACCACACAAUAGACAUGGAAUCUCUCGAGAUAAUUUAGAGGCAAAAUUAUAUCUUUACCUCCUACAACAGAGAUAGUGGUGGAGAAAGGGGGAACAAAAGUAUUCAGUACAAAAGAAUCUGACUAGUGAGCGAGUACAUCGACAAAUAAAGAAAUUGUAGAAAUUUAACAUGAUUGACGCAAUCAGAAAGGGACUUGGCUGUGUUCUAAAAGAAGAAAGGGAAAUAAAUUUUGAGGAUAACGAUAAGAAGAAGAGGAAGAGAACCAAAAAAGGCAAUUUUUUGACAAAAUUAGUAGCUGCAAAAAUCUUUAUGAAAGGGUAAGAAGUGUGUCAUCUAAGAAUUUGAAGGAUGAGACCAUAGAGAUUACUAAAAAAAUGACCGAUUUUUUAUCCGUAAUGAGAUCUGGAUUAGAGAGGAAACAGAUGAAAGACCCCAAAAACCACGCGGAGAGCGAAACUAAAACGAAAUCAAUACCCCAAACUCAGAUCAAGAAACCCUCCCCUACCUUCUUCCGCUGAUCUUGCUGCAUCCUUGCACAGAUCUCCAACCCCGACGAAUCAAAUCGCAGCUUUCGCGACCCUCCCCCUCCGCUCCUUCCCCUUCUCCGACCUCUCUCAACUCGAAUUCACCUCCUAAUCCCCAAAUAUCUACCCCCAAAUCAUCCGCAUUUGCCCCCGAUCAAUCCCUCUCCUCGAUCCCCAUCUCGAAACACCUCCCCGCGCCUCAAUCGCUCUCGCAGCGCACGCCGAGCGCCCUCUCCCGCCUCCGCCUCGACUCCCCAAUCGCCGCCGCAACAAGGUCACGAAUUCGACUCACUACCACCGUAGAGAUCAAUAAAUCGAUCGAUCGACCGAGAUCUCCAAGAUCCAGAGGAAGACGAAGCCGGAGAAGAGAAGGGCGACGACGGAGGAGGAGGAGGACGAGGAUCCAGAACCCUAACCCUAGAGGACCCUCUCCGUCCCCGCGAUCUCGUCUCGACUCGCCCCUUUAUAGCAAGGAUGAGAGAGAGAAGAGAGAGAGAGAGAGAGAGAGAAGGGAAAAGGGGGAGGGGUUGUUAUAGUUCUUCUUCUUCGGCCCAGGGCAUGAUGGAUCUAUUGUGUUUUAUCUUUUACCGUAUGGACGAUUCUGCCCCUCACCUUCCCCCGCGUAUCGUAUUUUGCGGCAGUGGCAGUAUGCGGUAAUUUUAGCCAACUUCGAGCCCUUUUCUGUAACGCGCAGCCGUUGGCGUGUGGUAAGUUUGCACGGAGACGCCUCACGAUUAGACCAUUUGUAACUAGGCGCAAAUGCAAUUAAUUUUCGAGCAAUGCUAGGAUUAUUACAACACUCUUAAUUUUUGGCUAAAUUGCACUUUACUCCCCCUACAUGUAUCCCGUUGACAAACCCUCCCCAAAAAAUAUAUAAUUUAUAUUCUAAAUAAUGUAAUAUUUAUAAAAAAAAUAUAUACAUAAUUUAUUUAAACUUUAGAUCAUUUUAAAUCAACUAUCUAAACUUUUCAAACUUUGAUUUUACUACACAAUUAUUAAUUUGUUUGAUUUCAGUCAGUCAAGAAUAUUUUUGAUUUAAAAAUUUGAAUAUAUUAUUUAUUUUUAUAGAUUUGAUUAAUAUAUUUCAUAUAAUUCUCAGACUAUGAAUUUAUUAAAAUAAAUAAUAACUUAAAACUUAAAGUAAAAUUACUGUUGUCUAAGUUAAAUCAAAUAAUUUGAUAGUUUGAAUAUUAAAAUUAAAAUUUUAAAACAUUAAAUAAGAGAUUCAAAAUAAUUCAUAGUUAAAAAAAAUUAUGUAUAUUUGUACCUAAUUAUAACUAGGCCAAUUUGCAUUUUUUUUUUUUUUUGCAGAUUUGGUCCGAUUUUUCAGCAAACUAACCAAAAUACACUUAUACAUUUUUCUCUCUCCUCUUUUUUUUUUCUCUCGUUCUUUUUUUCUUUCUCUUCCCAGAGAGCGGUGGAGACGAAGGCGGAAGUGAAGGCGGAGGCGGAGGCGACCCGCUUCGGUUUUAUCCGGCACAUCCUUACCCUCGCCCGCGCACCCCCCGCCUUCCUCGCCUCUGACCCUGCCGAGGCCGCGUUGCAACUUUUUUUUUUCCCUCUCCAACCCUCCUCCACCGCUUCCGACGACGACGCCUAUCUCACCCUCUCUCGCCCUUUCCCUCUCCCUCCUCCUUCACCUCCUCCGCCGCUUCCGACGACGACGCCUCUCCGCCGACAUCUGCGCCGCGGAGGUCGCUGCGGCGCCGCAACCUCGGAGCGGGUGGUCUUUAGCGACGUCGUCGCCGGCACCGUGGCCAUUGGCGGAGAGGCAUGACAAAAAAAAAUUAUAGAAAAGGAAGAAGAAAAAAACUAGAUAAAAAAUUAUAUAAGAAGGAAGAAGAUAAUGAAAUUGCACUGUUAAAAUAAGAUUACACUAUUUUAAUACAAAUUUGCACUGUUUUAAUAAAAAUUGCACUAUUUAAUAUAGAAAUUACAUUCUUUUAUAAUGGAUUUUACACUUUUAAGACUAACGUUACACUAUUUAGAAAAUUUUUGCACCUUUUUUUUUCUUUUUCUUUCUCUCUCUUCUUCUUCUUCUUCCGCUGCUGCUAGGAACCUAGCCCGCGAAGGCACGGUGGAGGCUGCCGCCGAGCUCGAGGAGGUCCCUUCUCGUUGUCAGGAGCCUCCUCGAGCUCAGCGAUAGCCCCCACCGUGCCUUCGCAGGCCGGGCGGGAGGCAGCAGCGGACGAAGAAAAAGAAGAAGAAAAGAGAAAAAGAAAAGGAAAAGAAAUAGUGCAGAAUUUCCUAAAUAAUGCAAUGUUAGUCUUAAGAGUGUAAAAUCCAUUCCAUAAGAGUGUAAUUUUUAUAUCAAAUGAUGUAAUUUUUAUUAAAACAGUGCAAGUUUGUUUUAAAACAGUGUAAUCUUAUUUUAACAGUACAAUUUUAUCAUCUUCUUUCUUCUUAUAUAAUUUUUUGUCUUUAUUUUUUUCUUCUUCCUCUUCUAUAAUGUUUUUUGUCACGCCUCUUUGCCAAUAACCAUGGUGUCGACGACGACGCUGCUAAAUAUUCCCUGCUCCGAGGUUGCGGCACCGAGUGACCUCCGUGGCGCCAAUGUCGGCGGAGAGGCGUCGUCGUCUGAGGCGGUAGAGGAGACGAAGGAGGAGGGAGAAGGAAAGGGCGAGAAGGGCGAGAGAGGGUGAGAUAGGCGUCGUCAUCGGAGGCGGUGAAGGAGGUCGGAGAGGGAAAAAAAAAAAAGUCGCAGCGCGGCCUCGCCGGGGUCGGAGGUGAGGAAGGCAGAGGUGCGCGGGCGAGGGUAAAGAUACGCCGGACAAAACCGAAGUGGGCCACCUUCGCCUCUGCCUCUGCCUCUGCCUCCGCCGCUCUCUAGGAAGAGAAAAAAAAAAAGAACGAGAAAAAAAAAAAAAAGAGGAGAGAGAAAAAAGUAUAAAGGUAUUUUGGUCAGUUUACUAAAAAAUCGGACUGAAUCUGUAAAAACGAAAAAUAUUGCCCACUUUUGCAAAAGCCCAAAAUUAGUAAAUUUUUUAUGCAAAUUGGCCUUAUAACUAUGAGGGCAAAUAUCAAUAAAACUUGUAUUUUACAUCUUGUCGAUUAUUUGUCAAACCUUUAAUUUCUACUACCAAUACUUCUAAAUGUAAUUUAUAAUUUUACAAUAUCAAAAAUUGAGAAAAGAAAAACUAAAAAAUUCAACUUUGCCACGUGGCACAAUGAUCGAGUAAUUAUUAAGUAACACAUAAUAAUUUAUUGUUAGAAUUUAAAUGAAUUUCUAAAUUGUUAUGAAAAGAGAUAAAAAUAAGAAAAAGAUUUGGAGCAUCAAAACAGUAAAUCUACAAGGUUAUUGGACAUUUAUAUUUUUUAUUCAUUUUAAUUUAAGUUACUCAAAUUAUUUGAAUUUGGAAUUUUUCUUAAAAAUAAUAAUUUUAUCAAUUAGAAGCGAUUAAUUUCUAACUAAAUUUGUUUUUCAUCCACAAAAUUAUCGAUUAAUUUAAAUUUUUCUAAUUAGAUAGGAAGUUACAAAUAAGAAAACUUCAGGGCCAUAUUAAAAAUACCCAAUAGCUGAGGGGCCUCAUCAUAAACUUUCACCUUUGGCACGUAGCCGUUCAUUUUUGUGGAACCUUCCAUUACCGUUGCGAUAGAAAAUAUGAAUUUUUUUUUUUUUAAAUCGUUGUUAGGGUUGGUGGAAUGGUUUGUAGCUAUUUAGCUAAUGGAAUUGAUAUUUCAACUAAUAAUUGAAUUUUUAAACUAAUUAUUUUUUAAAUUAAUUUUUGAAUAGUAGGUGGCCGUUUGGUUAUCAAUUUGAUUUCAUGUGUGAUGUAAUGUGUUGUUAUACUAUAUUUUAAUUUAUUUGAAUAUUUGAAAAAUAAUAUUUCUAUUUUAGAAAUUUGAAUUCUAUAGAGAAGUAAUGGGACCAAUUAAGAAUAUGGACAAAUGACAUUUUAUGAGCAUUUUAUUAAAAACUAAAUUAUAUUUCUUUGGUGACUAACUAAUUAUGUAUAUCAUUUUUUUGGUAGCUUAAAUGUCAAAAAAAAAAGGGUAAACUUCAAAAACCCCCCUAUGGUUUCGUAGUUUCUCACUUUGCCCCCCUGUGGUUUAAAGCGUAUCAAUUUGCCCUCCUGUGGUUUCGUUUUUAUCUUUUCGGUAGUUUUUUCGUUAAUAUUUCAUUAAAUUAUAUACAAAAAACUUCAGAUACCCAUUUAGAUUUAUCAAAUAUUCACUUUAGUACCCUUUAAUUUUAACUUUAUCAUUGAUUUAAGAAAAAAAAUAAUGAAAUUGAUAAGAAAAAGAGAAAAAAGAAACCACAGAGGGACAAAUUGAUAUAUUUUAAACCACAGGGGGGCAAAGUGAGAAACUACGAAACCACUGGGAGGGUUUUUGAAAUUUUUCCAAAAAAAAUUAGUGCUUUUGAAGUUUUCCCAAAAAAAAAUUAGUGCUGAGAUCAAAAAAAAAUUUCUCUCAUUUAAUUCAUGUUCAUGUUAAUUAUUUCUCAAAUAGGCCUUUUGGAUAACAUAAUAUUAAAGUCAAUUAUAAUCAUGCUUAGUUCUCGAAGGUAUUGAGUUCAAAUAUUCCUUAUACACUCACCAAUUAUAAUAUUAGAUUCCUACAGUUUACUUCUCUAAUUAUCUGCUCUGUUAGUGCGCUUGCAUAGUAUAUCUGAUAUUUUAGAAGCUCGCGAAUGAAAAUGUUUAGAAUAUUUUAGACCGUUCACUGUUAGAUUGUUUUUUUUUUAAUAAGAUUCCAAACUUGAAAUUUGACACAAAUAGUAUUUUGAACAUCUUAACUUUUCUUUGAAAGUGAGAGAUCAACUUCUUCUUAUACACCAUUCAAUAGUUUUUUCUUUUGAGAAAAUAUACGCCAUUGAAUAUCAUAACAAAAAAUAAAAGGGUUGGCUUUUCAAUAAUGUAGUGAAAGGGAAAUGGUAACUCCAAACCCAAAAUGCUCUACAUUUUCAUAAAUAUACCAACUCCAAACUGUAAUUUAAAAAGAAAAAAAACCUUAUAUAUGUCUCAACUAUGCUUUUCACAAGUUGUGAAAAGGAUCAAUCUUGGCACCUGAAUAAUGUUUGCCCAUAAAUUGAAAAGCACUAUAAUUCUAGCUACUUUAGGGGUAGGGGAGAAAAAAAAAAAACUUUUUUUUUUCUACCAAUAAUGUUAUUUGGAAGGAAAUUAAAGCCAAUCAUAGCUGCCAUAUCAUAUAAAAAUAUUUCAAUUAACUAUCAUAAAAAAACAAAAAUAACAAUGUAACAACAUAUAUAUAUAUAUAGAGUAGGGCUACGUACGUAGAUACCUUCAUAAUUUCUCCAAGAUUAUUAAUAACUAUAGAGCAGGACUACUGUGCUCUCAGGAGCACAAAGGCCUCCGUGCUCCUGAGCCAUUUUCGAUGAUGGAGUUUUCGAAUCGACGAUCGGCUCCAUUAGACUUGAUCUAGCGCAUUUGAAGUUUCUAGAAAAUAAUUUUUGUGAUUUUUUUAUUUCAUUUAUCUAAUGAUCGAAAGGAUUCAAAAUUCAUAAUUUUUAAUGGUUGAUAUCUGCCGUUUUCAAGUUUAACGGUGUAAAAGUAUUCAAAUUAGAUGAAAUUUUGAUACAAAUUUUUUUAUAUUAUCUACAACAAAAUCAAUAUUUCUGAUCGAAAAUUUUAGUGCUAUAUCACCACUUUUUAUAGAAUUUUUAUUUUCAGCCGUUAAAAAUUAUUGAUUUUCAAUCCUUUUGAUUGCUAGGUAAAUGAUAUCGAAAAAUUAUAAAAAUUAUUUUCUAGAAACUUCAAAUACGUUAGAUCAAGUUUAACGAAGCCGAUCGUCGAUUCGGAAACUCCAUCAUUGGAAACGGCUCAGGAGCACGAAGGUCUCCGUACUCCUGAGAGCACAGCAACCCUGCUAUAUAUAUAUAUAUAUAUAUAAAUAUAAUAUUAUAUAUAUAGGAAUAAUUUCAUAGAUGCCCUUCUAGAAACUAUUUUUCAUCAACCCUUCUAAAAUUGAUAAUAUCACCAAUACCCUCCAAAUGUAAAAAUUAUCAUAAAUGCCCUCUAUUAGUUUAGAUCCCGUUAGGUCUCCAUUGAAACGGAGUUAAUUUUUCAAAAUAACCAUUUUUACCCUUUAUCUCUUAUUAAUACUUAAUAAUAAAAAUACUAAUAGUAUUUUAAGAUAAUUUUGUAAAUCUAAAUUUGAGUAUUUAAUAUAUACAUAUUAAAUUAAAUCAUUAAUAUAUUAAUUAUUAAAAAAAUAUAUAAAAUAUAUUUUAUAUAUAGUAUUUUUAUAUCUAAUUUUGGUUUUGUUUUUAGUUUCGGAUUUCGGUUCAAGUUCAGUUUAAAUAUAGACCAAAUGCAUAACUGAAUUUACAUACGAAUGGAUUUUAUUUUUGAUAUCUAUAACUGAAACUAUUCCUAUUCAGCAUGUAAUAAGCUACCUCAUUUAAAAUCGAGUUAGAUAAAAUUGCGUAUCUUAUAUCAAUUUAUAUUCCUAUUAGUAAUAGUAAUUUUGAAAUAAAUUAUAGAUUUUAUUUUUUUCCUAUUUAAGCAAAAGUAAAUCACAUAACUAUAUGCAUGAAUUAUUCUGUCGAUUGAAACAAAAAUAGAGUUUUUGUUCGAAAGCUAAAAUAUAUUAUGUUUCAGUUUUUUAAUGCAUUUAAUGCAGAUAAAAUUAUCGAGAAUAAUUUUGAUUAAAAAAAAUUUUAACUUUCAAAUUAAAGAAAGAUCAGAUAAUUUUUAACAUUAUUUUUUCAUUUAAAUUUUUAUAUAUAAUUAAUUUAUUCGAUAAAAUAUAAAUAGAGACUAGAUUGUGGUAAGAUUAAUCAAAAAAAAAACUAAAAAAUUCUCAUUUUUUUCAUACACUAAAAUGAUAUCAACUAAAAAAAUAAAGUGAGGGAGCAGUUUCAAAAUGGCAUAAUUGAGGGGAUCUCCAUACAUUUUUUCUAAAAGAACCUUGAGGGUAAAUGAGUCAUUUUAAAAGUUAACCCCAUCUUAACCCUUUAAUAACUAUGGUAAAACUAACUUAACUAACAGUAAGGGUAUUGAUGAUAAUUUUCUGUAUUUACAGGGUAUAGGUGAUAUUUUAAAUUUAGAGGGGCAUCUAUGAUAUUUUAGACUUUGAGAGGGGUACCAUGAAAAUUGCCCAUAUAUUAUAUAUAUAUAUUAUAAUAAUAAAUAUAUAUAUAUAUAUAUAUAUAUAUAUAUAUUAUUGAGCUAGAAUACUUUUAGAAGCACCACCUCCUUGGUGCUUCUAAGUUUUUAGUUAUUGGAUCAACUCCUUGAUUAUUAAUAACCUUUGAAUCAAAUACUAUUCCACCCAUCAUCACAUGCCACAAUCAUCCCAACCUUACAUUUCUUCAUCCAAAGACUAAAAAUUCAAAAGCGCUACCUCUUUGGUGCUAUUGAAAGUAUUCUAACUCAACUAUAUAUAUAUAUAUAUAUAUAUAGAAUUAGACUACUAUACUAUCUAUAGUACCGAGCUCCGGUACUAUAGUGUUUGUUUUCGAUCUUAGGGUGUUCAAAUCAAUGAUCCACACCGUUAAAUAUGAUCUAAGGUAUAUGAAUUUCUUAGGAAUAAAAUUUUAGUUUUGUUCGAUAUCGUUUACUUAGUAAAUAAAUUAUAUCAAAAUAGACGGUGGAAAUUGAAUAAUCUUUAAAAUUUGAGUAUAGGACUUUUAAAUUCAAGAUCAAGAAUGUUAACCUUAAUCUAUAUAGUUUAAAGUAUUUUCUAUCAAAAUUUGAAGAAAUUUAGAUUCUUCUACACCGUUAAACUCCAAACUCGUUAUAAUAACUAUUGAAAAUUGACAAUUUUGAAAUAGUUUGAUCAUAAAGUAAACUAUGUCGAAAAAAUAUAAAAUUUUAUUUCUAGAAACUUUAAAUACCCUAGAUCAGUUUUAACGGUAUGAAUCGUUGAUUUGAACGCCCUAAGAUCGAAAACAAACACUAUAGUACUGGAGCUCGGUACUAUAAAUAGUAUAGUAGCCUAGCUCUAUAUAUAUAUAUAUAUAUAUAUAUAUAUAGCUUAAUAGUUUCCCCAAGAUUAUUAAUAACUAAUAAUACAUGAUAUUAUGUAGAUUAUUGCUAUGGUUACCUCAAAUAUAGGGGAUGUUUCUUUACUUGAUUAACAGUUCAGUGUGACGGUCACGCUUAGGCGAAGGACACAGUAAUAGAAUAAAAAGCUCUAACUCGGCUUUUUAUCAAACCUGAAAUGAAAAACUAGUAAAAAACUGAACAAAUGAUAUAAGCGAUUUAUGGCUAAGAUUGCACCUUCGAUUUAUAUAUUACUAUUGUAUACUUCACGUGAGCUAAACGUCAAACUUUUGAUCUGAGCCUCGUUCAUCAUUCACUGUUGUAUAAUCAAGCUGACAUAUUAGUUGCACCUUAACAUAUCCAUCAAAUAAAGUUAAAGUUUUUUUUUCUUUUUUUUUCAAGAAGAGGACUUUGCAUCCGUCCAAAAGCACUUUAAUAGUAGUGGUGAAGGAAAAUAGCACUCCAACACUUAGAGACCGUUUGGUUGCAUAUAAUUACAAUUGUAUGCAUUGCAGUUGUAACUGUAUGCGAAUACAAAUUCGGUGUAUGAUUUGAUAUAUUUAACUCCAACUGCUGCAAUAACAACUGCAGCAGUUCGAACUACGCCGAAAUUAGCCGCUGUUCCAACUAUAGUAGUUGGAAAGAGUAACUUUAAAUAAAAUGUAUGCUUAUCUGCUUAAUUAUUUUUUAAACAAAAGUUUUUUUUUUUUUACAUUGGAGGUAAUCUCACCACCAUAUAUGUAAAAUGAAAAAAUUUUAAAAAAAGUUUCUCAACUAUAUGCAACUAAACAAAUUAUUUCUCAACUGCACGUAAAUUAAAUCAUCACAUUUUUCUAAGCCUAAGAUUAGAAAAGUACACCAGUAUAUCGGUCCCUCUUUAGGGGAAAAAACUAACGAGAAAUUACUGUGCCAUAGCACAAAAUUCAACGCAUCAGAGGAGAAGGAGGAAGAGGAAAUAUACCCACUGAGAUACAGCAGGUGCUGAAUCAGUAUGAAGAUCUCUUUCAAGAACCCAAAGGACUACCACCUCUAACAAUAACUAUUUUUCUUGCUCUACUAAUUAAUUCUCUAAAGAUAAGGUCGGAGGUUAUUAGAGCAUAUGCCAUGAUAUAUACUAUGCAUAUGCUAUGCAUAUGGUAGUAUACGUGUGUGAUUCUCCCUUUCUUUAUUAGCUCAAAAUAAUAGCAUUUUUCUUUUUUUAUUCGCAAAGAAGAAUAAUCUCAACAACCACGCAACCUUAUUCCUGUUCAAUACCCUAGCCGAGUUAUAGGGUGUAGUAUUAUUUGAUAAAAUAUUAUACAAAUAAUGAUUUUAGGAGAAGCAGCAGAAUUAAAAAGCAUAAAUUGGAGACUCCAUUUUUUAUGUUUAAAGUUUUAUUUCUGUUUUCCGUUGGAGUGGAAAUGUUAAGUUUUUCUCUGCAUCAAAUAUUUUACGAAAAUUUGCUUUUAUUUAUAUCAAAAUUUAAGUAGAAGUGAAACCGAACAGACUUAUUAUUAGUCCUCUUCUAAAUCUGUGCCCUCCAACACGCCAAUGGUGAUAAAUAAGUAAAAACAGAAUAUUCUGUAUUUGCUGAUACAUGAUUUUUAUGCUCUUGUCAUCAUUUAUUAAAUUUAAAAAAACAUGUUGAAAUUAAUAAAGAAAUAAGUUACUAGUAAGGUUUUUUAUUUUACUUUUUUUCACGCCUUAUGAACUCGGUAUAUUUAGGACUACAAGUAACGGAAAGCCCACCCAUGUACACCAAUCUAUUAAAAAAAAUGAAAAAAAAAAAAAACGCAACAUCAAAUGAGGUCUAAAAUUAUAAGUAUCCACAUUAUCAGAUAAGUCUAUAUAUAUCUGCAUAUGUACGUAUGUAUAUUUACUUAUACGCCACUGAAGUGUUCUUGUGUACAGCACAAUUGUACAAUAAUUAGAUCAUAUUACAGUGGCAUACAAGUAAAUAUACAGAAUAGUAUAGAUUUAUAUUAUUAUUAUUAUUAUUAUUAUCUCAUGAGAUAUCGUUGACCGUGUUCUUCUUCUUCUUCUUUCCUUUAUUAAGAUUUUGUUUUAUUUUGACUUCAUGAUUACUGGGAAAGGACCAAAUUAAAAACAGUCAUAUUUAUUUACCAUAUAGUUAGGAACAGAUCAGCAACAAAUUAAUUAGUCCGUGUGUUUUGACCGUGACAGUUCGGUACUCAUAAAACACUUUUCAAGUAACAAACGGUGAGACUUCAGAUAGUCCAAUAUAUAAGAUAUAAUAGAGCUAAACUUUUAACCCGGCUUAAACAUUUUGGGUGAUGGUAAAACACAAGAGGUUAAGAAAGUUAAGCGUGUUAGGAUUGGAAUAGUUCUAGAAUGAAUGAUCCCCUGAAAACUUAGACUUCACAAUUUGUUAAUUCAUAUACUUUAUUUUUUCAUUUCGAUCUCUAAUGUUCAUUGUUCACUUUGACGAAAUGUUGUAGUCCAAAAGAUUCUAAUCAAUCUUAGUACUAACAUGUUUAAGUUUCUGAAAAAAUUUGAUAGCAUUUUUUUUUUUUGAGAGAUAGAUAGCAUGCUAUCCGUUUCACUUAUUUCAUUUAGAAAUAAACUUAGAUAGAAAUGUGAAUUAACUAGGAUUCGAACUUGGAUCUCGAAUACCAACCACCAAACCCUUUGCCACUUGCUCUAGGGACAGUCGAUAAUUUGAUAGCAUGUUGGCCUUGAUGCGGAAAGUGCGCAAUAAUUUAAAAGACAUUAUAGACGACGUUUGCAAGAACGGGGUAGUCAUAGUCAUGCAAGAUGAUAUGAAGGUUGAUGAAAUUGCUCGGAUCAAACUCGCAAGUUGUAUGAUUCGACGGAGACCCACUUCUUUGAGUAGUUCAGUUUAAUCUUUGAACUGGAAAAGUCAAAAAUCCAUUUUAAAUUAUUCAAACCUGUAGUUUAAUCAGUAAACCAAUAAAUUGGUCUGGUUCUGAACAAAUCGGUGAAAUUUUUUGAUCAAAUCGGAUCGAAGAUCUAACAGCUUAAAAUUAGAUCAUUUUUUCAAGAAUUUUAUAUUUAAUUGAUUUUGUUGACUUUAUAAUCUAUUACCAUAUAUCACUCUUGGGAAAAGUAAAACCUCAAAGCUCUUAUUUUCUUAAUUUUGUCCAAAAAUAUAAUACUAGAACAAUAAUAUAGAUUUUUUAUAUACAAUAAAAUAAAAAAUAAUAAUUAAAUAUUUAUGAUAUUAUUUAUACUAAUAUUAUUGGUACAAUCCCUAGCUGAAAAAAUAAUUUCUAACACAGUAAUAUUUUUCGGUCACUGAUCAAUCGUCACUAUCGCAAGUGGCAAAGAGAUUGAUGGUUGAUAUCUGAGAUCCCAAGUUUGAAUCCUAAUUGAUUCACAUUUUCAGCCAAGUUUACUUUUAAAUAAAAUAAACAAAAUGGAUAGUGUGUUAUCUAUCUCUCAGAAAAAAAUAUUUUUCGGUCACUGUCCGUUUUGGGUUUAAAAUAUUGAAAUGGAAAUGAAAAAAUAGGUAAAGAUUAGAACCAAUGAUUCGAUUAAUUUUAAAAUAUUGGGAUCAAUUGCAAAAAUAAAAAUAAAAAUUUGAAGACCGAAAUAAAAAAUAAAAUAAGGGUCGGGCGCCAACUGUGUAAUUAAAUCCUUUACCCUUUAUUUCUCGGUGGGAUUUUAUUUUAUUUUAUUUUAUUUUAUUACCGAGUACUGUUUUUUUUUUUAAUUUCUCGAUGGGAUUUUAUUUUAUUUCAUUUUUUUACCGAGUACUGUUUAUUUGGUUUUAUCUUUGUGGUUAAUGUUCGCAUGUAGAGGUGUUACUGUUGUCGGAUUCUUGUCGGAUCCAUGGAUUAUUUAUACGCAUUUAAAUCCAAUAAAUUAUCCCGUACAACUAUCCAGAUACAAAUUAAUGAAAAAAAAAAAAAAUUGGAGCAAAAUAAUGCUACGACCACCCCUAUUAAUGAAAAAUUAAGGGUGAAAUUGGACCCCAAAAAAAAAAAAAUUAUUUUGAGAAAUAGGUAGUAUGUUACCCGCUUCAUUUAUUUCAUUUAGAAAUAAACUUAGCUAAAAAUGUGAAUCAAUUAUGAUUCGAACUUAGGUGUCCGGUACCAACCAUCAAACCCUUUGUCACUUGCUCUAGAAACAGUCGGUAAAUUGGACCAAAAAAUUGACUAAUUUAUUUUGAUGAUAUACAUCUAUACAUCUAUACCUAUACCUAUAUCUAUACCUAUACCUACUUACCUACUUAUACAUUAUUUCUCAUGAAGUUUGUCAUGUGGCAAUUUCUCUUUCACUUCAUCCUUUUCACACCCUGAUGCUUCGCCUUCUCACCUCAUCUCUAUUCGAUAUUUCGUCUUUCUACUUGCCCACUUUCUAAUUAAUAUAUCCACAUGAUCCAUUUUUAUCUAAACAAAUCAUUUUUUUUAAAAAAUAAUAAAAUAAUAUUUCUUCAUACUCAUUUUUAUCACUUUUUUUUUCUUUUGUUUUCUCUUAGUGCACAAGAAAGGUUCAAUUUUUAUAUUUUUCUUAAUUUUUUUAUUUUUUAAAUUGUGUGCGAAUUGAAAUUAAGAUUCCGAGGAUUGUGGCAGCGCGGCGAGGUGAAGUGCGAUGGAUUUAGAGUCGAUGAGGGGGAAGAAGCGGCGGGUGUGAUGGAAUCCAUAUGGCAUUGACACGGCCGUGAUCAAGAAGAAGCUUUACGCCGACAAUGGUAGUGAAGGCGACGCGAAGAACAAGAAUCGCAUGUUUGAUCUUGACAGUAUAAUAAAGGUGUGUAUGGAGUAAUAACUCUAUUACUGCUUUUUUUACUGUUGUUAUAUAUAAUUUAUUUACUGUAAUAACUUUUGCUAUAUUGGUACAUAUCGGUUUUAUAUUUUUUAUUUGUAUCUAUUAAUGUCUCAUGACAAUGACAAGUCAAAAAAUUUUAAAAUUUUAAUUUUAUCAAACUUUUAUCUCCUAUAACAUAAGCCCGUCGUAAUGUACAGGUAACUUCACUAGUAUAUAGCAUAAUAACUUGUAAUUUGUAUGAUUAUUUUCAUAAUAUAGUGCUCAAUCCAACAAAUCAUUUAUUU